rnacentral:lncRNA from 1 species
GAAAAGGAGGAGGUGGUGGGUGGGGAUGGGGCGGAGGAGGAGGAGGGGCAGGGUGGUGGAAAUGGGGUUGUGGUGGUGGAAAAGGAAAGGGCCGAGGAGGAAGAGGCCGCAGAAACAGUAACCAUGUCUACAGCGGCCGGAAGAGGAGGUUCGACGAGGAAGAGUACGUGAUGGGAGAGUUUGCACAAUGCAUGCGGAAGGGGCAAUGCAAAGGCAUGAGAUUGGAUUGCCCUCUUCACUGCGGAGGGCCUUGCUUCUACGACUGCCAACACAUGUGCAAGGCUCACUGCCGACGACGUCGUACUUGAUCAUCACUGGCAAAUGUUUGAUGUUUCCGAAUUAAUUAAGGCGCCAUUAAUUUCUAACAGUCACAUUAAUCCCGAAGCACAUAUUACCCAAUUAGUCGACCGAUCGAUGAUUAAGCAAGGCUGAUGGAUUAAGGAUUUAUUAUAGUUAAAUUGUUCUCUAUCUGUUGUUUGCGCUUCCAUUCACCUUUUUUCUGUUUUUUUCUUUUCAUUCAACCUUUUUUCGUUGUUCAAUUUUAUGUGCCCUAUGUAUAUUCUGCAUGCAUGCAUGCAUGCAAUGUUUUACGUGGUAAUGACUCAAGAGAAUAUCGUUCAAUUUAUUGUGUUUUUUUAUGUCAAAUUAUGGUCAGCUUUGACAAUACAAAUAAAUGUAAUGCUAGAGAGAUUAUCUAUUUAAGUUAUAUUUUGCAUAUCAUAUGACAUGAUUGUUAAUGUCGGUCCAUUUGUUGAAGAGAUAAAUUUUAUGUGCAACCAGUUCUAUGAUUUGUGUAGAAUAUCUAAUAAGAAGAUAUAUACGUGUGGAAACAAAUUAAAGGAAUAUAUAAACAGUCCAAUUUAGUUUGUAAGAGGCAAAGCUGAAAAUCGAACCAAUCUAGGCCAAAUUCCAUCUAUUCAAUUUUUUUGGGGUAAUGCUAGGGACACCAAAAUUUUUAAAGCAGAUGAUGUGGUUGUAGUCUUGUAGAUGAUUGGAUUAAAAAUCAAGUGUCAAUUGACGUAUUUGUUUCUUAUUAGUGACACAUCAAUUUGGGUUACAAAUUUAGUUUAAAAUCUUGGUCUCCCUAGCAUUAUCUUUUUUUUUUUUGUUCGGUUUGAUUUUGUUCACUGAUGUGCUUGUUCAAAUGUUAAUUUACCCCAACUUGCCAUGCAGUUUUGGGCUGUUAGAGCGUCGUGCUCUUCUCUUUAGACUCAAGUUCCAAUCUUAUUCACCAUAAAUUAUGAGGUCGUUUUUUUUUUUAAACUAAAAUCUUGUUUGAUAACUACUUUAAAAAAAUAAAAAAUGAAAAAAAAAAAAACUGAAAGCUACUUCUUGAGUUUUCAAAAUUUGACCUUGAGUUUUUACAACUGAAAAUUGAAAACAAAAUGAUUAUCAAACAAUGCCUAAAUUAGACUUACCCAUUGUGUUUAUGCAAUCAGAGUUAAAAUGGGCUUUCAACAAAUUGAAACAAGAUUGGGCUUCUUAACGCUACGAGCCUAACAAGCCCAAUGGAUCCGCAUAAAAUUGUUCGUUCUUUUAUUUUAUUUUUUUAAGUAAAAGAAAAGAGAGCAAAGAACAGCUGUACAUAAACUAAUACAAAAAAAGAAUAAAAUGAAUAGUAGAAGCUAGCAUCUAAUUAAAGUUAAAGAAAGAAAGGUAAUCGCACCACGACGGCGGCGACGUGGCGGUCCAUUAACGGAAAAUAACAGACAAAUCAGCCUCUAGAUUAAGGUCUUGAAGCACAACUUUGAAAAAUCGAGACUACCUACAGCUGAGCUGCAAUGGAGGCAAUCAGGAAGCUCAGAGAUCAGGUCGCCAAGCAACAGCAGGUACUCUCUAUCUCUCUCUCUUCGUGUUUGAUGGAAUUUACAUCUGUUUCCGAAUUUGUAUUUCUGUAUGGAUUUUGAUAUGAACAUAAGCUGCGUUAAUUGUGAGAUUGCGAGAUUGCUUAUCAGAUUUAAUUUUAAAGGUGUGCUAUCAAUCAAUUUAGUUCCAGUAUAAUAAUAAUGAUUAUAAUUGUUGAAUUGAAUUGAAUCGAAACGAAUUGAAUUGAAUCGAAUCGAGUUGAAUUGAAUUGAAUCGAAUCGAAUUUCACUAUUUCUGAGCUGUUUGGGGAUGUGUUGGAGUGUACUGUUGGUGAAUUUGUAAAAUUUUGAACCAGGUGUUGCUGAUUACUUAAUCAUUUUAUCAGGAUUUAAGUCAAUGCUUAAUUUUUACUUUUUCUGAAAACUUCAAGUGGAAAUUACAUCUAAUUCAAUGUUUUAUGCUUCAUUGAUGCGUAGCCUUAGUCGAAGGUUUAUCGAGCUUGCUUUUCAUUUAUUGUAACACUGUCAGGCUGUAUUCAAACAAUUUUCUGGUGGCAUAUUUGGGGGAUCGGAUAAUGUUGCCGCAGAUGAAAAUGAAUUCCAACAGCAUCAGAAAAUCGAGAAGUUGUACAUAUCAACUCGUGCUGCCAAGGUUGCUACUCAUUUCUGUCUGUUCAUUCAGUUAUUAUGACAUCACAAUACUUUUGUUACCUGUAUCUUAAUCUACUUUGUUUUAUUUGACAGCAUUACCAAAAGGAAAUCGUCCGUGGUGUGGAAGGUUAUGUUGUUGCUGGUUCAAAGCAAGUUGAAAUAGGUGCGUUGCUUGAUAUGCGUUGUCCUUUUUUUGGGAGUUUGGAUAUGAAUUCGUGUGAGUUUUAUCAGUUAGUUUAUAUAAUACUAUUUCAACAGGUACCAAAUUAUCAGAAGAUAGCAGGAAAUAUGGUGCUGAAAAAACUUGCACCAGUGGUAACACAUUGUCGAGAGCUGCACUGAGUUUUGGAAGAGCCCGUGCCCAAAUGGAAAAGGAGCGUGGACUUCUACUGAAAGCUCUUGGCACGCAGGUUUAAAUCAAAUUUUGUGUCCAUUUGAUUAUUUCGAAAUAAAUUUACAGCAAAAAAUUGUUUCCAUUACCACGCCAUGGUUCAAGAACUGGACUACAAUUCUGUGUUUUUAUGCAUCAUAUGACAAAGUGGUAGGUUGCAGAGCCUUUGAGAGCAAUGGUAAUGGGAGCGCCCUUGGAGGAUGCUCGACAUCUUGCUCAACGAUAUGCUAGAAUGCGGCAAGAUGCUGAAGCUCAGGUAUGUGCACAGUUUCUUCAGUUUUUUACCAAUGUUUUCCUACAUUGAAUUUAUAUCUUCCAUAGUGCCUGUAUUUUUCUAGGUGAGCUGCUUCUUUUGCUUUUACCAAUUCUUGUUCUACUACAUUGAAUUUUUAUGAAAAAUCUUAAGAUGUUUCUAAUAUAAACGAGUUGAGAAGCUUUUUUUUUAUUGGUAACUUGGAACUUGUUUUUUUUUUUUUAACUCCGUGAGCUUUGUCUAUGUAUACUAACACUUGCACCUAGAUAGGCUAUAGAUGUUUCCAGACGCCAAGCCAAAGUACGGGAAUCUGCAGGUAAUGCUGAUAUUAUCAUGAAACUAGAAGCUGCUGAAGCCAAGCUUCAGGAGCUACAGUCUAACGUUGCAAUAUUGGGAAAAGAAGCUGGUGCAGCAAUGGCUGCUGUUGAAGGUCAACAACAAAGAUUGACUCUUCAGCGGCUUCUUGUGAUGGUAAAGCACUUCCUUUCCCUUCCUGUUGAAGCAUUGAGGCUUUGGCCUGUUCUAGUUACAAGAUUGAAAGAAAAUUAAUUCUGUAAGUUUGUCAAUUUCCGUCUCCAUUCAAGGUUGAAGCAGAGCGCAAUUAUCAUCAGAACGUUCUUCAGAUACUUGACCAGCUUGAAGGCGAGGUAUGAAAUAUCCUGGAAUCUUCCUUAUCGGCAAGACAAUUUUUCCAAUUCAUUAGGUUGUAUAUUAUUCUAGUGUCUUGUGACUUUAAGCAGUGAUGAUUGACACUAUUUGUUGGGACAGAUGUUGUCAGAAAACCAGCGAAUUGAAGCAUCGCCUAGUCCAGCUACAGAGACAUCUAUGCCUCCGCCACAAUCAUAUGAGGAUCUGGGACAUAGCUUUGCUUCUGAAGCCUAUGAUGAAUUGACAGACACAAGGGACUAUUUCUUAGGAGAGGUAACUUUAUGCUAAAUGUGGUUGUAGCUGAGUUUUCGUAUGUUUAACUCUUUAGUUUCUACUAAUUGCUCCUUUUCGCCUACUGCAGGUUGUGUACACAUUUCAAGCUGUAACUGAUGUGGAGUUAAGCUUGUCUUUUGGGGAUUAUGUCGUUGUCCGGAAGGUUCUGCAAUCUUUCAUGCUUCAUACUUCAAUAAUUUUCAUGUUUUGAUUAUUUCUCUCGUAUUGAGAUUAUGCUCUUGAGCAGGUAUCAAAUAAUGGUUGGGCUGAAGGUGAAUGCAAGGGAAAAGCCGGGUGGUUUCCAUUUAAUUACAUCGAAAUGCGGGACCGUGCGCUUGCGAGCAAGGUGGCUGCAGUAUUUUAAAUCUUUUGGUUUCCUGUUUAGUUGGCUUGUGUUUGUGUUUGUGUUUCUGCUCUGAGAUUUUACCUAGUAGCACAUGGAUAUAAAAUAAUAUGUUUGAGACUUUUUUUUUUUUUUUUUUCCUUGAGAAACCUCGACGACUUUUUUUCGAGACUUAAAAAACGUUUUCAAGUUUAAAAAAUCGAAACUUAAAAAACCGUUUUUGAGUCAUGUUCCUGAAAAUUGAUUUUAAGAAUAAUAAAAGUUUUUUUUAGUAAGAUACCAAACGUGGCCUUUUGUAACUGGAUAAGUGCUCGAAUAACAUCUUCAAAAUACAAUUGAUCCAACAGAUAUAACAAGGAAGCUCAAAGGUUAUUCUGGCUAAAAACUAGGUCUGGCAAACGGGUCGUGUCUGUCGUGUUCGUGUCAUUUUCGUGUAACACCUGUUAUCUUAACGGGUCGUGUCGUGUCUCACCCGUUAUCUUAACCUGUUAUGACCCGUUAAGAAAAAUAUAUAUUUUUUCUUAAAUUUGCACAUACCACACAUUGCCACAUAAAUAUUACUUCAAAACAUUAAAACACAUUUGUCGUUUAAGUACUACAUCUACACUUGAAAAUAAGAGCCUAAUAAACAAACAUUCAUACACUACUAGUCUAUUACAAAAUGUUAAAUGUGCAAGGAUAUGCAAAAUGAAAGAGUUUUUGUUUUCAAGGUUGUGAAGCCUUUCUCAAAAGUUUAAACCUUGCCAAUGGAACUCAAAGCUUGCAUGUUAUUCCUUUUACAAAAUCCUCAAUUUUCAUUGAUCAUCAUGAUAUAAGAUUUUGUGGUAUCCACUUCUGUAAAUAUUUUAAAUUGACGAUCAAAUUAGGUCAUUGUAUUCAUAUAAGAUCAAGGAGUGUAGCUGUAAAAAAUCAUCAAAAUCGGAGUUAAAAUAACCGUUAAAUCGUGAUUUUUCGUUUAUAACCGUCGAAAAGUUUUGUCUCGUUACUUGAUAUAUGAAUGUUUUUUUUUUUCAAUUUUUGGCGUAUGCGAUCUCAAAGUAUAUACAAACAUGUUUGACGGUUUGAUCACUGAAACUAGUUUCUUAGAAUGUGUAUCACAUCAAAACAAUAGAUUCACUAACACUUAAAAGUUUAUUGGUACUUUCAUUAAGUAUAACAUAAUAUUUUGUGGUAUCCACUAGUGUAAAUAUUUUAAAUUGAAGAUUAAAUUCAUUCAUUGUAUUCAUAUAGGGUCAAGAAGUGUAGAUGUAAAAAAUCAUCAAAAUCGGAGUUAAAAUCACCGUUAAAUCGUGAUUUUUCAUUGAUAACCAUUGAAAAGUUUUGUCCUGUUACUUGAUCUCUGAAUGUUUGUUUUUUGCGAUUUUUGGUGUAUGCGAUCUUGAAGCAUAUACAAACAAAUUUGACGGUUUGAUCGUUGAAAUUAGUUUCGUAGAAUGCAUAUCUCAUCAAAACGAUAAAUUUACUAAUACUUAGAGUUUAUUCAUACUUUCAUUAAGUAUAACAUACUAGUGUAACUAUUUUAAAUUGAAAAUCAAAUUCAUUCAUUGUAUUCAUAUAAAAUCAAGGAGUGUAGCUGUAAAAAAUAUCAAAAUCGAAGUUAAAAUAACUGUUAAAUAGUGAUUUUUCGUUUAAAAUCGUCGAAAAGUUUUAUCCAUUACUUAAUCUCCGAAUGUUUGUAUUUUGUGAUUUUUGGUGUAUACGAUUUCGAAGCAUAUACAAACAAGUUUGACGGUUGGAUUGUUGAAAUUAGUUUCGUAGGAUGCGUAUCCCAUCAAAACGAUAGAUUCACUAACAUUUAGAGUUUAUUUAUAUUUUCAUUAAGUAUGACACAAGAUUUGUGGUAUCCACUAGUGUAAAUAUUUUAAAUUGAAGAUCAAAUUGAUUCAUUACAUUCAUAUAGGAUCAAGGAGUGUAGCUCUAAAAAAUAAUCAAAAUCGGAGUUAAAAUAACCGUUAAAUAGUGAUUUUUUGUUUUAUAAUCGUCGAAAAGUUUUAUCCAUUACUUGAUCUCUAAAUGUUUGUUUUUUGCAAUUUUUGGCGUAUGCGAUCUCGAACUAUAUACAAACAUGUUUGACGGUUGGAUCGUUGAAACUAGUUUCGUAUAAUGCAUAUCCUAUCAAAACAAUAGAUUCACUAACACUUAAAAGAGUUUAUUAAUAUUUUCUAGUGUAAAUAUUUUAAAUUGAAGAUUGAAUUCAUUCGUUGUAUUCAUAUAGGGUCAAGGAGUGUAGCUGUAAAAAAAUAAUCAAAAUCGGAGUUAAAAUAACCGUUAAAUCGUGAUUUUUCGUUUUAUAACCGUCGAAAAGUUUUGUCCCGUUACUUGAUAUCUAAAUGUUUGUUUUUUGCGAUUUUUUGCUGAUGCGAUCUCGAAGCAUAUACAAACAAGUUUGACGGUUGGAUUGUUGAAAUUAGUUUCGUAGAAUUUGUAUCCCAUCAAGUUCAAUGAUAUAUAUAUAUAUAUAUAUAUAUUAAGUAGAUUUAAAUUUAUUUAUUUUGUACGUAUAACACUUAAGAAAUUGAAUGGUAUGUAUAUUUAAGCCGAUCCAAUGGUCACCAAUUUUUAAAAUUUAAUUUAAUAUAUAUAUAAUUUUUAUAAUUUUUAGGGGUAUAAAAUUGUUAAAUUAAUAUAUAUAAUUAUUAUAGUAUUUUUUAGGGUUAUAUAAUUAUAAAAUUAAUAUUUUGCUUAUCUUGUAUCGUGUUACCCACGUGUAUAUCCGAACCAACCCGUUAUCUUAACACGUGCUUAUCGGGUUACCUGAUAACGACCCAAUUCGUUAUUGUAUCGACCCGAACACCUGUUAAUUUCGUGUCGUGUCGUGUCGUGUCGUGUCGGAUUAUUGGGUCGUGUCAGGAAUUGCCAGGCCUACUAAAAACCUUAUAGCAAACCCUAGAAUUCUCUAAGAAGAAAGAAAGUAAAUCUUUUGGCAGCAAAAUGAAUUUGCCGAGUCAACUAGGCUAUUGGAGCUGGUAUACUCGACGUUGUAAAUUUGUAACCGUCAUUUUUGGUUCUCACUUUCUCUCUCCAAUCCAUUUCAACAAAAGGAAUUUGCCUAGUCAACUAGGCUCUUAGAGCUCUUAUACUCGACGUUGUAACUGUCACUAUUGCUUCUCUAUCUCUCUCUCUCCAAUCUGGCAAUCUCUCCCAUUCCAUCUUUGAGAAAAAAGACUCUCUCUCAUCUCUCCCAUUUCCUCUCAUAGAAUAAGCUCUCAACGAUUGGAGAAUAAGCUCUCAAGGCUCAGAGAACGGCCCUCAAAUCCUUUGCGUCUUAGUUUACUGGAAUUUUUUUCGAUAUAUUUCGUCACUCUUCCGGUCUUUGUGUUCUUAUCUGCUCUAGAUCAUAUAUCUAUAUUAUAGUUUCUGAAAUUUGAUUUGUUCGAAUAGGUUUGCUAUUUCUUGGUGCGUUUGAUUGUGAAAUUUAAUUUGUUUAGUUCAAUUGUUCAACUACUAUUCUUGGUGCGUUUCAUUUUGAAAUUUCAUUUGUUCGAGUAGGUUAACUAUUUCUUGGUGCGUUUCAUUCUGAAAUUUCAUCUGUUUGACUAGGUUUGCUAUCUCUUGGUGCAUUUGAUUCUAAAUUUCAUUUGCUCAACUAGGUUUGCUAUUUCUUGGUGCUUUUGAUUCUGAAAUUUGAUUUGUUCAGUUCAAUUGUUCGACUAGGUUUGCUAUUUCUUGGUGCAUUUCAUUCUGAAAUUUCAUUUGUUUGACUAGGUUUGCUAUCUCUUGGUGUGUUUUAUUAUGAAUUUCAUUUGUUCGACUAGGUUUGCUAUUUCUUAAUGCGCUUGAUUGUGAAAUUUGAUUUGUUUAGUUUAAUUGUUCGACUAGAUUUGCUAUUUCUUGGUGAGUGCAAUGUCUCUACAAAUUCCCGUGAAGACAUAUCUCUACAGAGGCAAGAUUCACAGAAAAGUGUAUUGUUGAAACUACCUCUUCCACAACGCAAGGUGUAUCCAAAUAAUUUGUUUAAGGAGACGGAGGUUGGGGCUUACACUCGAGAAAAACGAGCAAACUAAAUCGUGAUUUUUUGUUUAUAACCGUCGAAAAGUUUUGUCUCGUUCAUUGAUCUCUGAAUGUUUGUUUUUUGCGAUUUUUGGUGUAUGCGAUCUCGAAGCAUAUACAAAUAAGUUUGACAGUUGGAUUGUUAAAAUUAGUUUUGUAGGAUGCGUAUCCCAUCAAAACGAUAGAUUCACUAACACUUAGAGUUUAUUUAUACUUUCAUCAAGUAUAACAUAAGAUUGUGUGGUAUCCAUUAGUGUAAAUAUUUUAAAUUGAAGAUCAAAUUCAUUCAUUGUAUUCAUAUAGGAUCGAGGAGUGUAGCUAUAAAAAAUAAUCAAAAUCGGAGUUAAAAUAACCGUUAAAUCGUGAUUUUUCGUUUUAUAAUCGUCGAAAAGUUUUAUCCCGUUACUUGAUCUCUGAAUGUUUGUUUUUUGCGAUUUUUUGCUGAUGCGAUCUCGAAGCAUAUACAAACAAGUUUGACGGUUGGAUUGUUGAAAUUAGUUUUGUAGAAUUCGUAUCCCAUCAAGUUCAAUGGUAUAUAUAUAUUUAUUAAGUAGAUUUAAUUUAUUUAUUAUGUACGUAUAACACUUAAGAAAUUGAAUGGUAUGUAUAUUUAAGCCGAUCAAAUGAUCACCAAUUUUUAAAAUUUAAUUUAAUAUAUAUAUAUAAUUUUUAUAAUUUUUAGGGGUAUAAAAUUGUUAAAUUAAUAUAUAUAUAUAAUUAUUAUAGUAUUUUUUAGGGUUAUAUAAUUAUAAAAUUAAUAUUUUGCUUAUUGUGUAUCGUAUUACCUACGUGUAUCCGAACCAACCCGUUAUCUUAACAGGUGCUUAUUGGGUUACCCGAUAAUGACCCAAUUCGUUAUUGUGUCGACCCGAACACCUGUUAAUUUCGUGUUGUGUCGUGUCGGGUUAUUGGGUCGUGUCAGGAAUUGCCAGGCCUACUAAAAACCUUCUAGCAAACCCUAGAAUUCUCUAAGAAGAAAAAGAGUAAAUCUUUUGGCAACAAAAUGAAUUUGCCUAAUCAAUUGGAGCUGGUAUACUCGACGUUGUACAUUUGUAACCAUCACUUUUGGUUCUCACGUUCUCUCUCCAAUCCAUUUCAACAAAAGAAAUUUGCCUAGUCAGCUAGGCUCUUGGAGCUCUUAUACUCGACGUUGUAACCGUCACUAUUGCUUUUCUCUCUCUCUCCAAUUUGGCAAUCUCUCCCAUUCCAUCUUUGAGAAAAAAGACUCUCUCAUCUCUCCCAUUUCCUCUCAUAGAAUAAGCUCUCAACGAUUGGAGAAUAAGCUCUCAUUAGUUUACUUGAAUUUUUUUCGAUAGAUUUCGUCUCUCUUCCGGUCUUUGUAUUCUUAUUUGAUCUGGAUCAUAUAUCUAUAUUAUAGUUUCUGAAAUUUGAUUUGUUCGAAUAGGUUUGCUAUUUCUUGGUGCGUUUGAUUAUGAAAUUUAAUUUGUUUAGUUCAAUUGUUCAACUACUAUUCUUGGUGCGUUUCAUUUUGAAAUUUCAUUUGUUCGAGUAGGUUAACUAUUUCUUGGUGCGUUUCAUUCUGAAAUUUCAUCUGUUUGACUAGGUUUGCUAUCUCUUGGUGCAUUUGAUUCUAAAUUUCAUUUGCUCAACUAGGUUUGCUAUUUCUUGGUGCUUUUGAUUCUGAAAUUUGAUUUGUUCAGUUCAAUUGUUCGACUAGGUUUGCUAUUUCUUGGUGCAUUUCAUUCUGAAAUUUCAUUUGUUUGACUAGGUUUGCUAUCUCUUGGUGUGUUUUAUUAUGAAUUUCAUUUGUUCGACUAGGUUUGCUAUUUCUUAAUGCGCUUGAUUGUGAAAUUUGAUUUGUUUAGUUUAAUUGUUCGACUAGAUUUGCUAUUUCUUGGUGAGUGCAAUGUCUCUACAAAUUCCCGUGAAGACAUAUCUCUACAGAGGCAAGAUUCACAGAAAAGUGUAUUGUUGAAACUACCUCUUCCACAACGCAAGGUGUAUCCAAAUAAUUUGUUUAAGGAGACGGAGGUUGGGGCUUACACUCGAGAAAAACGAGCAAACUAAAUCGUGAUUUUUUGUUUAUAACCGUCGAAAAGUUUUGUCUCGUUCAUUGAUCUCUGAAUGUUUGUUUUUUGCGAUUUUUGGUGUAUGCGAUCUCGAAGCAUAUACAAAUAAGUUUGACAGUUGGAUUGUUAAAAUUAGUUUUGUAGGAUGCGUAUCCCAUCAAAACGAUAGAUUCACUAACACUUAGAGUUUAUUUAUACUUUCAUCAAGUAUAACAUAAGAUUGUGUGGUAUCCAUUAGUGUAAAUAUUUUAAAUUGAAGAUCAAAUUCAUUCAUUGUAUUCAUAUAGGAUCGAGGAGUGUAGCUAUAAAAAAUAAUCAAAAUCGGAGUUAAAAUAACCGUUAAAUCGUGAUUUUUCGUUUUAUAAUCGUCGAAAAGUUUUAUCCCGUUACUUGAUCUCUGAAUGUUUGUUUUUUGCGAUUUUUUGCUGAUGCGAUCUCGAAGCAUAUACAAACAAGUUUGACGGUUGGAUUGUUGAAAUUAGUUUUGUAGAAUUCGUAUCCCAUCAAGUUCAAUGGUAUAUAUAUAUUUAUUAAGUAGAUUUAAAUUUAUUUAUUAUGUACGUAUAACACUUAAGAAAUUGAAUGGUAUGUAUAUUUAAGCCGAUCAAAUGAUCACCAAUUUUUAAAAUUUAAUUUAAUAUAUAUAUAUAAUUUUUAUAAUUUUUAGGGGUAUAAAAUUGUUAAAUUAAUAUAUAUAUAUAAUUAUUAUAGUAUUUUUUUAGGGUUAUAUAAUUAUAAAAUUAAUAUUUUGCUUAUUGUGUAUCGUAUUACCUACGUGUAUCCGAACCAACCCGUUAUCUUAACAGGUGCUUAUUGGGUUACCCGAUAAUGACCCAAUUCGUUAUUGUGUCGACCCGAACACCUGUUAAUUUCGUGUUGUGUCGUGUCGGGUUAUUGGGUCGUGUCAGGAAUUGCCAGGCCUACUAAAAACCUUCUAGCAAACCCUAGAAUUCUCUAAGAAGAAAAAGAGUAAAUCUUUUGGCAACAAAAUGAAUUUGCCUAAUCAAUUGGAGCUGGUAUACUCGACGUUGUACAUUUGUAACCAUCACUUUUGGUUCUCACGUUCUCUCUCCAAUCCAUUUCAACAAAAGAAAUUUGCCUAGUCAGCUAGGCUCUUGGAGCUCUUAUACUCGACGUUGUAACCGUCACUAUUGCUUUUCUCUCUCUCUCCAAUUUGGCAAUCUCUCCCAUUCCAUCUUUGAGAAAAAAGACUCUCUCAUCUCUCCCAUUUCCUCUCAUAGAAUAAGCUCUCAACGAUUGGAGAAUAAGCUCUCAUUAGUUUACUUGAAUUUUUUUCGAUAGAUUUCGUCUCUCUUCCGGUCUUUGUAUUCUUAUUUGAUCUGGAUCAUAUAUCUAUAUUAUAGUUUCUGAAAUUUGAUUUGUUCGAAUAGGUUUGCUAUUUCUUGGUGCGUUUGAUUAUGAAAUUUAAUUUGUUUAGUUCAAUUGUUCAACUACUAUUCUUGGUGCGUUUCAUUUUGAAAUUUCAUUUGUUCGAGUAGGUUAACUAUUUCUUGGUGCGUUUCAUUCUGAAAUUUCAUCUGUUUAACUAGGUUUGCUAUCUCUUGGUGCAUUUGAUUCUAAAUUUCAUUUGCUUGACUAGGUUUGCUAUUUCUUGGUGCUUUUGAUUCUGAAAUUUGAUUUGUUCAAUUCAAUUGUUCAACUAGGUUUGCUAUUUCUUGGUGCAUUUCAUUCUGAAAUUUCAUUUGUCUGACGAGGUUUGCUAUCUCUUGGUGUGUUUUAUUAUGAAUUUCAUUUGUUCGACUAGGUUUGCUAUUUCUUAAUGCGCUUGAUUGUGAAAUUUGAUUUGUUUAGUUUAAUUGUUCGACUAGAUUUGCUAUUUCUUGGUGAGUGCAAUGUCUCUACAAAUUCCCGUGAAGACAUAUCUCUACAGAGGCAAGAUUCACAGAAAAGUGUAUUGUUGAAACUACCUCUUCCACAACGCAAGGUGUAUCCAAAUAAUUUGUUUAAGGAGACGGAGGUUGGGGCUUACACUCGAGAAAAACGAGCAAACUAAAGCUUGAGGAGUUGGAGGACUCAGAGGAGUCCAAGGAUUCAGAGGAGUCGGAGCUUAGGCGAUCAUUCUGCUGUGAGGAGCUAACUUUCAGAAUGAUCGCCUAACCUCCGAAUCUUUCGAGUCCUCCGAGUCCUCUAAGUCCUCGGGCUCCUCAAGCUUUAGUUUCGCAAGCCCCAACCUCCGUCUCCUGAAAAAAAUUAAUUCUUUGGAUACACCCAUUAUUAUUAGCCCAUUGUGAGACUCUUAACGAAUCGGAGAAAAAUCUCUCAACGAUCGGAGAAUCGCCCUCUGAUCCUCUAAUCCUCUGCGUCUUAGUUUACUUGAAGCGCUUUCGGUUGAUUCCAUCUCUCUUUUCGAUCUUUGGGUUCUUAUACGAUCCAAGCGGAUAAGAACCCAAAGAUCGAAAUAGAGACAUAAUGUACCAAAAAACGCUUCAAGUAAACUAAGAUGCAGAGGAUCAGAGAGCGAUUCUCUUAGCAUUGAGAGUUUUUUCUCCGAUCGUUGAAAGUCAAAGAUAUUAUUGUUUCUAAGGGGGUGGAGGAGUACACUGUGUCUCACAAUGGGAUAACAACAAUAGAUGUAUACAUAGAAUUUUUUUCAAGAGACGGAGGUUGGGGCUUACCUUAUGAAGCAUAGCAAACUGAAGCUUGAGGAACCGGAGGACUCAGAGGAUUCAGAGUUAGACGAUCAUUCUGAAAGUUACCUCCCCAGAGCACAAUGAUCACCUAAGAUCCGACUCCUUCGAGUCCUUUGACACCUCUGAGUCCUCCAGUUCCUCAAGCUUUAGUUUGCUCUUCUUCUCGAGGGUAAGCCCCAACCUCCGUCUCCUUAAAUAAAUUAUUUGGAUACACCUUGUGUUGUGAAUGAGGUAGUUUCAACAAUACACUCCUCUAUGAAUCUUGCCUCUGUAAAGAGAUGUCUUCACGAGAAGUUUGCAGAGACAUUACACUCACCAAGAAAUAGCAAAUCUAGUGGAACAAUUGAUCGCCUAAAUUCUGACUCCUCCGAGUCCUUGGACUCCUCUAAGUCCUCCAACUCCUUAAGCUUUAGUUUCCAUUGGGCGAUGUGACAGAGAAGAUGAGUGAGAAGAAAGAGGCAGAGUUACAGAGAAAGGGAAAGAAGAGAGAAAAGAAUAUGCGGCAGGGAAGGGAAAAAAAAAGGGAAAUAAAGGAGAGAGAGGAAGAUUGGAGAAGAAAAAGAGAGAGAAAUGGGAGAGAAUGAUACAAGAAAAGAAGAGGGAGAGAAAGAAGAUGAGGCUGGGGAGAAAAAAAGGAGGAUAAAACAAAUACAAUAUAGAGGACAUGCUAGGGUUUCUAGGUAAUAAGACUUUUUAACAUAUUUGGACUUAAAGUUUGACUUUCAACAUAUUUGAGCCUAAAUUGGGUUAAUGAUUGGUUUGAAGUUUGGAUUAGAUAAUAAAUAACAAACAUAAAUAAAUAAAAUUAAUAUAUAUUUCAUUUAAUUCGGUUUGGUUUUUUAAUCAACAAAAUCAAAACCGAACCAAUAAUUUUUAUACGGUUUUUUUCAAACUUUGAUUCGUUAGUCAAUUCAAUUUUUUUCGGUUUUCAAUUUUUCAAUCUCACCCCUUAACAGCGAACGAGGACGAUGCUAUCAAGUAUGAGGCGAUUGUGGAGAUUUGGAAGGAGGAUUGAAAGUUGCAGUUGUUGGACUAGUCUUCAUUUUGAUUCACUAGCGCCAAAGAACACGCCAUCUCAUUGUCGUGGCCCCAUUGGAGUUGGUGUUUGCUGCAGUGCUUUGCAGUUAUUGGUACUUUGCAUACACCACUGAGUCAUUUCUCUCACACAACACAAAUAGAAACAAAAGAAAAAGAAACAGAGCUUUCUGCUCUGUUUGUUUGAAAAUUAGCUUGAUAUAUCAUAGAUACAAAAACUCAGUAAAGCAUUGAUAUUUUAGUAAUGGAAUUAAGUGAAAUGAGGGUCAUAAACCAAAUACACUAGAGCAGCUUCCGUAAUACAGUACACUGUUAAUACAACGUUCGUGCUAUUCAUCCAUUAUUUUGUAGAGAUAAAUUUACACAUGACAUUAUGUUAUUUAAACAUUACAAUUGCGGUGUACUAAUGUUAUACAAGUCUUUAUUCAUAGUAGGAUCGAAAACUUAUGAUUAGAAUGUUGACCCGGGUUUUCCACUUUCCACUUAUGAACAAUUUUCUCUACAACCUUGUAGCAUUUCUCGGAAAAUAACUCUUACCUUACAAGAUGAUGAAAGAAGCAUAAUAUUAGUGUUCACCCUAUCCCUACGGAUACACCUCUUUGUCCAUUAAAUUGUGAUUAAUGUAUUUUCGUCAUACAACAUUCUUAGCCGCCUCAUCGGAGAAGGAAAUGUAGAAUGGCCAAACAUGUUUUAACAAAAACGGUUUAGUUUAAUACAUCAUGAUGUGACCGAAAAAUUCAGAAAAUAAGUCACUGUAGUAAUCAAAAUAAAUUAGCUAGGAGACUAUGGCAGCCUGUUUUUCUUCUCUUUUUCUUUUUCUGGACAGCGGCGGCAGUCCAACUCUAGGCAAUGGCGUUGGCCAACAUGGAAUCACAUAUGUCCAGACGUCUCUCCAAGGCCAAAAAUCAAAAGUGUUACGACCAUACCUUUGACCUCUAGGUUUCUCUAAAGUUCUUGCUUGAAUGUUGCAUUUGAUUAUGUGUCCACCCAUCUCCCAAGUAUAAAAUAUCCCCAUCAUUCGGGUCCACUGCUAGCACCCGAAAUCUUGUAGCGCAAUCUUAUACAAUCGUUGAGGAAAUCAUGCUUCCCCACAUCCAAUUCGUCCAAGGAAGCCUUGUGUAUCAAACACCAUUUGACUCUUCCUCCUCCGGCUGCCUCAUCUUCUUUCAACUCCGAGACACAUACAAUGAGAGGGCGACCAUCAUUAUAGGGAUUAGAAAGUGUUUCUGGUGGCAUCCACGUCUGUAAUUGGCACAUCCGCAGGCGCCCUCGGCAAAUCCCUAGACACGCAACCGUUUUUGUAUAGUCCAAAGGCUCAUCAAACUCAAUGAACCGACACCCAUAGUUACCGUUGUGCGGUGCAAAACGGAUCAAACCCGAUAACGCCACCAUAACUCGGCCAAUACAACUUUCCAUUGUAAGCAAUGCCUGGACGGUUGAAGGUGAAAUCAAAACUAAUACCUUGUUGUGGACAUGAUACAACUGAUUCUCUCCAUUCACCAGUUUCUGAAGAGAAGAUGUCCACCUUAAAUUGAGAUAAAUAGUUUCCAAGUUGAAUAAUUCGCACAACCCUGCACCGAUACUCAUCAUUGGUGGUUAUACUAGUACCAGUACUGCCACCAUUAUCUUGUUCUUGGCUGGCAUAGUAGGGAUCGCAGAUGAAUCCCACUUGUGCGAUCUUGUGGUGUGGGGGGGCGGGAGGAAGGGCAACACAUUGCCGGGCGUUUUGGAUUGCAUAUGUAGUAUUUAUGUGGAUCAUCCUUGGUCAGGCAGCACAAAACUAAGUCAUUAUACAUGGCCACCACUAGCUUUUCUUUUGUGCCUUUAAACCGCGGGAUGAGGUGAAGAGCUGCAAUGCUUGUUUUUCCAAAGCAGAGCAUCGAAGAUGAUAUGACGAAAGGUGAAUCCGGCGGGGAAGGUUUGGCGGUAGUGUUCGAGAACAAGAGAGUACGCAGCAGCGUAAUGGGUUGUUUCCUAUCAAUUUGCAUGCAUAAAAUGCGGGCAGCAAAAUAAGAAUUAGAGAUGAGAGCCAACCACCGCUUGCACACACGCUUAUUUCGACGAGCGUAUUUGUAAGGAAGUCGGCAAAGGAUUUCAACCAAUACGCCAUCAGGCAGAUCAUUGAUGAGGAGGAGUUUUGAUGCCAACUGCUCAUCAGAAGCAGAAGGCAGGGGCUGGGAUCCCAUGGCCGCAGGAAUCGGACAACCAACUGCAAUUAAAAAUUCUAAAAUUCUAAUAUGCAAUCCAACACUGAAUAUCUCCUACUUAUAUACACAGCGAAUCCGAAACCUAAUCGAAAAAGGAAAUCAUUUUCGGGUAGGAAAAAAAAUCCGAUAAAAUUCAAAAUUAGAAUAGGAAACUAACUCACCUGCUUGGUGUCUUCGCCGCUGUGAAGAAAAUGGGUCGAGAGAGAGGAUGUCGGCGAUGAUGGGUGUGACCGGAAGAUGGGGCUCCGGCUGCAACAUCGAUCGGGUUUAUGCCAUCCACCGUUCAUACUUUUUUUUUUUUUUUUGGUGAACAAAACAAUUCCACCGUUCAUACUUUGUCACCAAAGCCAUAUUGCUUUUGGAUGAGAUCGACCACGAUGAUUGAAGAAAGGCAAGGGUCUCGGAGAGAGGGAGUUCCAGAGAGACAGGAUGAAGCGAGGGGCACAGAGAGAGAGAGAGAGUCAGGCAGAGGAGGGCGUCAAAGGGGUAAAAAUUUUGGGAGGAGGGAAGAUUAAAAAUUUUCUGGCCGCACGAUCUCAACCAACGGUGAAGAUGAAGCGUCCGGAGAGAGAUCCGGAGAGGAUCUGGAUCCUUUGGAUGGUAUUCCUAUGGCUACAUUUAAACUAUUUUUUAGCCAAAAUUGUCUUUGAAAUUUGCAUAACACAUUAAUUUGAUCCUAAGAUUGAAAAUUCAAUAGAAAUUGUCCAUGUGAUUGCUCCAUCCAUUAUUAUUUUGGUCAUUUCGUUAAAAACUCUGUUAAGUAUUCCGGAGCUCUUGGCAGAAAGUUUAGGCAAUUUUCAAAGUUUCGUAACUUAAUUGUUUCUUAACCAAAUUCGACCCAUAAUAUAUCAAAAUGAAGAUAGGAAAGUGUAGAACAAGAUUAUACCUAUUUUGAAGCGCAAUGGUUGAUGGAGAUGGCCGGAAAAUGGCCUAAAAGGUGACUGGUCCGCAGGAAAAACUGGAAAACUAGGUAAACUUUAAACGUUUAUAACACUUAUUCAAUACUCAACAAAUCGAGUGAUUCAGAAAUUAAAAUCAUACUUCUUAACGAGACAAAGAGAAUGGUACCUUUCUCGACGGCUAACUCGCCGUAUUUGGUCGGAAAACGGCUCGAAAUUGGCUUUCUUAGUCUCGAGUUAGCCACUUUUUAAUCAUUUUCCGAUCAAAACACGGUGAAUUAGUCAUCAAGAAAGGUAUCAUUCUCUUCGUAUCAUUAAGAAGUAUGAUUUUCAUUUUUUGAAUCAUUCGAUUUCGUUAAGUAUUGAAGAAGUUAUGAACGUCUAAAGUUUACCCAGUUUCUGGCGAGUUUUCCAAUUUUCCCUCAAACCAGUCACCUUUCAGACUAUUUUGUGGUCAUCUCUGUCAACCAUUAGGCUUUCCAAAUAGGUAUAAUCUUGUUCUGCACUUUCCUAUCUUCAUUUUGAUAUAUUAUGGGUCGAAUUUGGUUAAGAAACGAUUGAGUUACAAAGCUUUGAAAAUUACCCAAACUUCCGGCCAAGAGUUUCGAGAUACUUAACGGAGUUUUUUAACGGAAUGACCAAAAUAAUGGAUGGUGGACAAUCUCAGAUACCAUUUCUAUUGAUUUUCAAUCUCAGGGACUAAAGUGAUAUGUUAUGUAAAUUUUAGGCACCAUUUUGGCUACAAAAAUCAACUACAUAUUAAUAGAACAUUUUUUUAUCAAUCAGAAGAGGGUGAAAAUACAAUUUAGGUCUUCUAUCUCAACAAAAAAAGUUAAGGACAAUAACUUAACUUUACAAAAUAAAAUUUUGCAGUUUUUUCUUUAAGCCUCAUUUACAGAUGAUUUUAACAACACAAAAAUAAAAUAUUUAUAAAAUAUGUUGCAGUCCUAUUUAGAAUAGGAAUAUGAUUGUGUAAAUCCUAGUAGAUAUAUGAAUGUAUCUUAUAUUCCUAUUAGGAGUUGAUUACCUAUUAAAUGUUGUAACCUAAAUAGAAAGGUUUUUACCUAUCCUGCUACUAUAAAUAAAGGCACAAUGGGGUGAAUCAAACACACCUCACAAUUAUACAUCUAUCUCUUCUUCUUUCUAUGCCGCACCCUCUCACUCUAUAUGGUCUACAUAAUUGUUUAGUAAAUUAUGCCUACAACACGUUAUCAUCACGUUCUUGACACUGCGAUAAAGAUAAUUUAUUAUUCACUAAGGGGAGUAUUACGUUUUAAUCAUUAUUUUUUAUGAUUAAUUUAUUAUUUUAUUGAUAUACAUGCUAUUGAUUCAAUUUAAUUUUUUGUGUUGAACAUGAUACAAACGCAUUAGAGAUGCAAUUCCGGCUCUCCGAGAAUGAUCUUCUACAAAAUUCAAAGAUUUUUGUUGUUUUCUGCCAAUCAGGUACGCUUAAAAUAAAGUAAGAUAUUUGAAACGACCAUGAAUCAUGAAAAUAUUCACCAUGAUGCAUGAACCCCCUAUAUUUAUAAUUUUCAUUCGGCUAUAUAUAUUGUAUAUGUUUCAUAUAUUGGGGUUUGGAUGCGAGUUGUGGAACGGGACGGCCCAUCUUCUAAUAAUAGUAAAAAAGGCCACAAACGGCAAGCUUUGAUUUUGUCGUUCAUACUUCAUAGAAAUCCAAACUUCUGGAACUAGUCUUCUUCCUUCGGUAGAACAGAGCACGGCUAGCCCUGCCCAACCCAAGUUUACAGGUAUGCUAUAUAUUGGAAUAAUUUCAAAUUUAUGACCGUGUUUAAUUUGGUCUGAAAAUUCAAAUGAAUUGAUGUUUGAAAAUUCAUGGUCAUUGAUAGGAUUUUUACUACUUAUGUGAAUGCAAUAAAAACCUCCUAUUUUACUUGCAAUAAUCACAAGGUUAUUGUAGUAUAAACGGAUCUCGCAAGGUCAUUCUCCACAUGGAUUAUUAAGUAAUUCGAAACAAAUCAGAUUCCAAUUAAUGAUUGUAAAGUAGAAAUUUAGAUGAUUGAUUUUAUAACCUACUUAAAUUAAAAACGAAUUUAACUAUUAAUGAUAAGACAAUCUGCAAUAUUAAAGCUAGAGAGAAAAGAAAACAGUUUUGAGAGAAAUCAAAUUAAGAAAGCACUAGGGUUCCACCAUCACCUAGCAAUCCUAUGAAUUUUUACCAAUUACUUAUGAUCUACACAUGCCACUUUGAAGGUUAGAUUUUCCUAAUUCAUAUUCUACUUGGAACCUCCAACAUAGAACGUAUAUCUAACAUGCAACCCGUCCGGACGUUCGGAUCAAAUCUAAACAUGAAAGACUCAUUAUGCUUUAUGAAAAUCCUUUGAAAAACCAUGCAAUCUUUAAGACGUGAUAUUCAUCCUAAGAUAAAUUACAAUUAUUAAUCACAAGAAGCCAUCGUCAAUUUCAGGGAACCUUCCGACCAAAAUUGCAUCAAAUUACUUUUCUAAAGAUCCUAAUGGUGAUCAGGCAUUAAGACAAUUAGAUAGUUUUUAUCCCGGUGAUUAACAAUUCAAAAUAUGCAUGCAAUCAAUCAUAAGCAAUUAAAUAAAAAUCACAUAUUCAUGCUAAGGCUCAAGGCUUCGCCCUAGCAAUAGAAAUUAGUUCCGCAUAUUCAUAAUUGAAAUCGUAGAAAAUAUAUUCAAGAAAAGGAUUGAAAGCACCUUCAAGCAAAAAGUCUUCAAAACCCUAACAAUUCUCUCUGUCUCCCAAAAUUGCAUAAAGGAAAGCGUGAUCUAAAACUGUAGACGGCUAAGCAAUAUAUUUGCUAAGCCACCACCAAAACCCUAGAAAACAUAACCCUAAAUUAAUUGAUAAAAAUUCGUCUAAAAUCUGAACAGCCACGUUUUGGCCCAUAAGCUGCUCCAAAACUGGCCCAAUAAAGCUGGAUUUAAUGUUUGGAAUAUUCUGAACACUUUUCCAGAAGGCCUCGAACCCAUCCGAUGUCAUCUUGGGCUCCAAAAACGCAAUUUAAGCCCAAAAACGUCAUUUUCCAGCACUGCGCAUUGCUUCUUUAUUUCAUCGCCAGAAAAUCACCGCUUGGUGGAAAAAUCCCAAAUUUUGAUACGAUCAAGCUAAGUGACUCACGAACGUCCUCCAACUGGAAUUACUCCAAAAUUCGUCCAUUUGGUCCUGUUUUGCUCCAGAGGAAGUCGAAAGUCCUAUAUUAAAAAUACAAUUCGAAGUAUCAAAAUUCUUCCAAAAUAUUAACCAAAAUAUACUAAGAUUAGGGUAAAAUAUAUAAUAUAAAAUCUACUCAUCAGUCAUCGUUUUCACUCCUCAGCAGUCAGCUUCUCCACCGAGCGCCGGAUUUGGGAAAGCAGUUCCGAUGAGCAGCAAGCAGAGACGGCCGCCGGACCCAGUGGCGGUUCCGAGGUGCCACCGCGGCUCCGUCAUGGACCUCUCUUUCAUCCUUCCCAACCACUCCUGUUCACCGGGUACGAUUCAGUACACUUAUGCAACCUACCCUUUUGUUAUCAUUUCUCAAAAAUUAAAAAAUUGGUGCUUUUUUUUUGUUUUUUUUUUUUUGUUCUAGUUCAUCAGAUGGCGAGCUGAGGAUCUGGGAUACUUACCAGCAUCGGACUGUAUCAUCAGCUGGGUAAUUUAAAUACCAAUUUUCCAUUUUAUUUUUAUGAUUAUGAAGUUCAUACCUUUUUUUUGUUUUUGGAAUGAAAAGUAAAAAUUUAUUUGCAACUUUUCAGGGUGCAUAAUGCAGCACAUGGUAUUGCUUCUGUUGCUUGUACUGCCAACAGAGUUAUCAGGUGAUUUUCUUUUCAUUUUUUCUACUUUUAUUUGUUUAUUGGCUACACAAACGCGCACACACACACAUCCUGUAUUAGUAGUAGAAUUGAAAUUUGAAAAUGUUGGUGUAGCCAGGGCAGGGAUGGGACGGUUAAAUGUUGGGGAUAUUGAAGGUGGAGGUCUGCUCAGGUUCUUAGCUAAUUCCCAUAAUUGUAGCCUAUAGUUAUUCGGUUUCCAUUGUACACUGCUUCAUUUGUUAUUUUUGAUCAUGGCAUGCGCCUCAUUAUUUUUGAACCUUGAUAUCGCCUUGGUAGGACUCCGUCUGUUACAAUCAAGACAAACUCUUACCACUUUUUGUAAACUUUCCUAGGUGAAGAUGCCUCAAUCUUGUUCUACACUAGUGGACGGGGUUAAGUGUCAUGAUGGAGAGGACAGAAGGGUUAGGGGGACCACUGAUGAAGAUACUCUAGAUGACAGUAGAGACAACGUUGAAGGGAGUCUGCCUGAGCAUCCCAGCGCCUUUGAAGGUUUAUUUAAAUUUGAAACUGAUAUUCCGGUCAGGAGUGUUUUCUGUGCACUUUAGCUACGUUCUCGCAGGAGAUGAAGGCUUAGACUUUAGAUAUAUCUAUUAGUACUGUAUUUUCAAUUUGUUUUCUUUUUUAUUGCUCUGUGAUGGUUCAGAAACAAGAAUGUUGAUAGACAGUUUUUGAAAACAGAAAAUACUGAAGAUGAAUUUAUCUAAAUAUGUUGCUGUAGCAGGGGAGCAGACUUCUGAGGUUUGUAUCUAACCUUGAGUAUGUCUAGUUUGAUUUUCAUUUUUGAAGCCCCGAUUACUCACUACCUUCAUGUGGUUUGCAAAGGUUGAGAUUUGGGAUCUUAAUACUGCAGAAAGGUUUGCACGGCUUCCUCAAAGCUGCUUUGGUGGUUCCCCGGGUAUUUCUUCCAAGGAGAGAGGUCCCAUUCUAAUUCAUUCAACAUUUUGCUUACUAGUUUCCGGGUUUGAUUGUGUUUCAGUUUAUACCAGAUCGAAAUAGCUAUCAAACCAGACAAGAUAUUACUAGAAAGUUAUAAACACGCAUAAAUGUUGCAGCCAAGAAUCAAAUAUGAGCCAAAAAGCAAAUGAAAAUCAUCUCAAGCUCCAAUGUGUCAAAAAUACUGAUGUCGGUAAAUUUCAUAUGACGAAGAAAAACGCACCGCUCCUACAUGAUGCCUAACUUGUGAAGAAGAUCCUGCUGUUUCCUUUAGCCCCUUCCAGGAUUGGUCAUCCACUCCUAAAAAUCCGAAAUUCCAACCAAGGAAUCAUGAAGCUGGACGUGGACUCGCAGUAAUGUUGAGGAAUGUAAGAAUCCACGUCAACAUUACUGCGAGUCCACGUCCAGCUUCAUGAUUCCUUACAUUCCUCAACAUUACUGCGAGUCCACGUCCAGCUUCAUGAUUCCUUGGUUGGAAUUUCGGAUUUUUAGGAGUGGAUGACCAAUCCUGGAAGGGGCUACAUGAUGCCUAACUUGUGAAGCUGGACGUGGACUCGCAGUAAUGUUGAGGAAUGUAAGAAUCCACGUCAACAUUACUGCGAGUCCACGUCCAGCUUCAUGAUUCCUUACAUUCCUCAACAUUACUGCGAGUCCACGUCCAGCUUCAUGAUUCCUUGGUUGGAAUUUCGGAUUUUUAGGAGUGGAUGACCAAUCCUGGAAGGGGCUAAAGGAAACAGCAGGAUCUUCUUCACAAGUUAGGCAUCAUGUAGGAGCGGUGCGUUUUUCUUCGUCAUAUGAAAUUUACCGACAUCAGUAUUUUUGACACAUUGGAGCUUGAGAUGAUUUUCAUUUGCUUUUUGGCUCAUAUUUGAUUCUUGGCUGCAACAUUUAUGCGUGUUUAUAACUUUCUAGUAAUAUCUUGUCUGGUUUGAUAGCUAUUUCGAUCUGGUAUAAACUGAAACACAAUCAAACCCGGAAACUAGUAAGCAAAAUGUUGAAUGAAUUAGAAUGGGACCUCUCUCCUUGGAAGAAAUACCCGGGGAACCACCAAAGCAGCUUUGAGGAAGCCGUGCAAACCUUUCUGCAGUAUUAAGAUCCCAAAUCUCAACCUUUGCAAACCACAUGAAGGUAGUGAGUAAUCGGGGCUUCAAAAAUGAAAAUCAAACUAGACAUACUCAAGGUUAGAUACAAACCUCAGAAGUCUGCUCCCCUGCUACAGCAACAUAUUUAGAUAAAUUCAUCUUCAGUAUUUUCUGUUUUCAAAAACUGUCUAUCAACAUUCUUGUUUCUGAACCAUCACAGAGCAAUAAAAAAGAAAACAAAUUGAAAAUACAGUACUAAUAGAUAUAUCUAAAGUCUAAGCCUUCAUCUCCUGCGAGAACGUAGCUAAAGUGCACAGAAAACACUCCUGACCGGAAUAUCAGUUUCAAAUUUAAAUAAACCUUCAAAGGCGCUGGGAUGCUCAGGCAGACUCCCUUCAACGUUGUCUCUACUGUCAUCUAGAGUAUCUUCAUCAGUGGUCCCCCUAACCCUUCUGUCCUCUCCAUCAUGACACUUAACCCCGUCCACUAGUGUAGAACAAGAUUGAGGCAUCUUCACCUAGGAAAGUUUACAAAAAGUGGUAAGAGUUUGUCUUGAUUGUAACAGACGGAGUCCUACCAAGGCGAUAUCAAGGUUCAAAAAUAAUGAGGCGCAUGCCAUGAUCAAAAAUAACAAAUGAAGCAGUGUACAAUGGAAACCGAAUAACUAUAGGCUACAAUUAUGGGAAUUAGCUAAGAACCUGAGCAGACCUCCACCUUCAAUAUCCCCAACAUUUAACCGUCCCAUCCCUGCCCUGGCUACACCAACAUUUUCAAAUUUCAAUUCUACUACUAAUACAGGAUGUGUGUGUGUGUGCGUUUGUGUAGCCAAUAAACAAAUAAAAGUAGAAAAAAUGAAAAGAAAAUCACCUGAUAACUCUGUUGGCAGUACAAGCAACAGAAGCAAUACCAUGUGCUGCAUUAUGCACCCUGAAAGUUGCAAAUAAAUUUUACUUUUCAUUCCAAAAACAAAAAAAAGGUAUGAACUUCAUAAUCAUAAAAAUAAAAUGGAAAAUUGGUAUUUAAAUUACCCAGCUGAUGAUACAGUCCGAUGCUGGUAAGUAUCCCAGAUCCUCAGCUCGCCAUCUGAUGAACUAGAACAAAAAAAAAAAAACAAAAAAAAAGCACCAAUUUUUUAAUUUUUGAGAAAUGAUAACAAAAGGGUAGGUUGCAUAAGUGUACUGAAUCGUACCCGGUGAACAGGAGUGGUUGGGAAGGAUGAAAAGAGAGGUCCAUGACGGAGCCGCGGUGGCACCUCGGAACCGCCACUGGGUCCGGCGGCCGUCUCUGCUUGCUGCUCAUCGGAACUGCUUUCCCAAAUCCGGCGCUCGGUGGAGAAGCUGACUGCUGAGGAGUGAAAACGAUGACUGAUGAGUAGAUUUUAUAUUAUAUAUUUUACCCUAAUCUUAGUAUAUUUUGGUUAAUAUUUUGGAAGAAUUUUGAUACUUCGAAUUGUAUUUUUAAUAUAGGACUUUCGACUUCCUCUGGAGCAAACAGGACCAAAUGGACGAAUUUUGGAGUAAUUCCAGUUGGAGGACGUUCGUGAGUCACUUAGCUUGAUCGUAUCAAAAUUUGGGAUUUUUCCACCAAGCGGUGAUUUUCUGGCGAUGAAAUAAAGAAGCAAUGCGCAGUGCUGGAAAGUGACGUUUUUGGGCUUAAAUUGCGUUUUUGGAGCCCAAGAUGACAUCGGAUGGGUUCGAGGCCUUCUGGAAAAGUGUUCAGAAUAUUCCAAACAUUAAAUCCAGCUUUAUUGGGCCAGUUUUGGAGCAGCUUAUGGGCCAAAACGUGGCUGUUCAGAUUUUAGACGAAUUUUUAUCAUUUAAUUUAGGGUUAUGUUUUCUAGGGUUUUGGUGGUGGCUUAGCAAAUAUAUUGCUUAGCCGUCUACAGUUUUAGAUCACGCUUUCCUUUAUGCAAUUUUGGGAGACAGAGAGAAUUGUUAGGGUUUUGAAGACUUUUUGCUUGAAGGUGCUUUCAAUCCUUUUCUUGAAUAUAUUUUCUACGAUUUCAAUUAUGAAUAUGCGGAACUAAUUUCUAUUGCUAGGGCGAAGCCUUGAGCCUUAGCAUGAAUAUGUGAUUUUUAUUUAAUUGCUUAUGAUUGAUUGCAUGCAUAUUUUGAAUUGUUAAUCACCGGGAUAAAAACUAUCUAAUUGUCUUAAUGCCUGAUCACCAUUAGGAUCUUUAGAAAAGUAAUUUGAUGCAAUUUUGGUCGGAAGGUUCCCUGAAAUUGACGCUGGCUUCUUGUGAUUAAUAAUUGUAAUUUAUCUUAGGAUGAAUAUCACGUCUUAAAGAUUGCAUGGUUUUUCAAAGGAUUUUCAUAAAGCAUAAUGAGUCUUUCAUGUUUAGAUUUGAUCCGAACGUCCGGACGGGUUGCAUGUUAGAUAUACGUUCUAUGUUGGAGGUUCCAAGUAGAAUAUGAAUUAGGAAAAUCUAACCUUCAAAGUGGCAUGUGUAGAUCAUAAGUAAUUGGUAAAAAUUCAUAGGAUUGCUAGGUGAUGGUGGAACCCUAGUGCUUUCUUAAUUUGAUUUCUCUCAAAACUGUUUUCUUUUCUCUCUAGCUUUAAUAUUGCAGAUUGUCUUAUCAUUAAUAGUUAAAUUCGUUUUUAAUUUAAGUAGGUUAUAAAAUCAAUCAUCUAAAUUUCUACUUUACAAUCAUUAAUUGGAAUCUGAUUUGUUUCGAAUUACUUAAUAAUCCAUGUGGAGAAUGAUCUUGCGAGAUCCGUUUAUACUACAAUAACCUUGUGAUUCUUGCAAGUAAAAUAGGAGGUUUUUAUUGCAUUCACAUAAGUAGUAAAAAUCCUAUCAAUGACCAUGAAUUUUCAAACAUCAAUUCAUUUGAAUUUUCAGACCAAAUUAAACACGGUCAUAAAUUUGAAAUUAUUCCAAUAUAUAAGCAUACCUGUAAACUUGGGUUGGGCAGGGCUAGCCGUGCUCUGUUCUACCGAAGGAAGAAGACUAGUUCCAGAAGUUGGAUUUCUAUGAAGUAUGAACGACAAAUCAAAGCUUGCCGUUUGUGGCCUUUUUUACUAUUAUUAGAAGAUGGGCCGUCCCGUUCCACAACUCGCAUCCAAACCCCAAUAUAUGAAACAUAUACAAUAUAUAUAGCCGAAUGAAAAUUAUAAAUAUAGGGGGUUCAUGCAUCAUGGUGAAUAUUUUCAUGAUUCAUGGUCGUUUCAAAUAUCUUACUUUAUUUUAAGCGUACCUGAUUGGCAGAAAACAACAAAAAUCUUUGAAUUUUGUAGAAGAUCAUUCUCGGAGAGCCGGAAUUGCAUCUCUAAUGCGUUGUAUCAUGUUCAACACAAAAAAUUAAAUUGAAUCAAUAGCAUGUAUAUCAAUAAAAUAAUAAAUUAAUCAUAAAAAAUAAUGAUUAAAACGUAAUACUCCCCUUAGUGAAUAAUAAAUUAUCUUUAUCGCAGUGUCAAGAACGUGAUGAUAACGUGUUGUAGGCAUAAUUUACUAAACAAUUAUGUAGACCAUAUAGAGUGAGAGGGUGCGGCAUAGAAAGAAGAAGAGAUAGAUGUAUAAUUGUGAGGUGUGUUUGAUUCACCCCAUUGUGCCUUUAUUUAUAGUAGCAGGAUAGGUAAAAACCUUUCUAUUUAGGUUACAACAUUUAAUAGGUAAUCAACUCCUAAUAGGAAUAUAAGAUACAUUCAUAUAUCUACUAGGAUUUACACAAUCAUAUUCCUAUUCUAAAUAGGACUGCAACAUAUUUUAUAAAUAUUUAUUUUUGUGUUGUUAAAAUCAUCUGUAAAUGAGGCUUAAAGAAAAAACUGCAAAAUUUUAUUUUGUAAAGUUAAGUUAUUGUCCUUAACUUUUUUGUUGAGAUAGAAGACUAAAUUGUAUUUUCACCCUCUUCUGAUUGAUAAAAAAAUGUUCUAUUAAUAUGUAGUUGAUUUUUGUAGCCAAAAUGGUGCCUAAAAUUUACAUAACAUAUCACUUUAGUCCCUGAGAUUGAAAAUCAAUAGAAAUGGUAUCUGAGAUUGUCCACCAUCCAUUAUUUUGGUCAUUCCGUUAAAAACUCCGUUAAGUAUCUCGAAACUCUUGGCCGGAAGUUUGGGUAAUUUUCAAAGCUUUGUAACUCAAUCGUUUCUUAACCAAAUUCGACCCAUAAUAUAUCAAAAUGAAGAUAGGAAAGUGCAGAACAAGAUUAUACCUAUUUGGAAGCCUAAUGGUUGACAGAGAUGACCACAAAAUAGUCUGAAAGGUGACUGGUUUGAGGGAAAAUUGGAAAACUCGCCAGAAACUGGAUAAACUUUAGACGUUCAUAACUUCUUCAAUACUUAACGAAAUCGAAUGAUUCAAAAAAUGAAAAUCAUACUUCUUAAUGAUACGAAGAGAAUGAUACCUUUCUUGAUGACUAAUUCACCGUGUUUUGAUCGGAAAAUGAUUAAAAAGUGGCUAACUCGAGACUAAGAAAGCCAAUUUCGAGCCGUUUUCCGACCAAAUACGGCGAGUUAGCCGUCAAGAAAGGUACCAUUCUCUUUGUCUCGUUAAGAAGUAUGAUUUUAAUUUCUGAAUCACUCGAUUUUGUUGAGUAUUGAAUAAGUUAUAAACGUUUAAAGUUUACCUAGUUUUCCAGUUUUCCUGCGGACCAGUCACCUUUUAGGCCAUUUUCCGGCCAUCUCCAUCAACCAUUGCGCUUCAAAAUAGGUAUAAUCUUGUUCUACACUUUCCUAUCUUCAUUUUGAUAUAUUAUGGGUCGAAUUUGGUUAAGAAACAAUUAAGUUACGAAACUUUGAAAAUUGCCUAAACUUUCUGCCAAGAGCUCCGGAAUACUUAACAGAGUUUUUAACGAAAUGACCAAAAUAAUGGAUGAUGGACAAUCACAUGGACAAUUUCUAUUGAUUUUCAAUCUUAGGAUCAAAUUAAUGUGUUAUGCAAAUUUCAAAGACAAUUUUGGCUAAAAAAUAGUUUAAAUGUAGCCAUAGGAAUACCAUCCAAAGGAUCCAGAUCCUCUCCGGAUCUCUCUCCGGACGCUUCAUCUUCACCGUUGGUUGAGAUCGUGCGGCCAGAAAUUUUUUAAUCUUCCCUCCUCCCAAAAUUUUUACCCCUUUGACGCCCUCCUCUGCCUGACUCUCUCUCUCUCUGUGCCCCUCGCUUCAUCCUGUCUCUCUGGAACUCCCUCUCUCCGAGACCCUUGCCUUUCUUCAAUCAUCGUGGUCGAUCUCAUCCAAAAGCAAUAUGGCUUUUGGUGACAAAGUAUGAACGGUGGAAUUGUUUUGUUCACCAAAAAAAAAAAAAAAAGUAUGAACGGUGGAUGGCAUAAACCCGAUCGAUGUUGCAGCCGGAGCCCCAUCUUCCGGUCACACCCAUCAUCGCCGACAUCCUCUCUCUCGACCCAUUUUCUUCACAGCGGCGAAGACACCAAGCAGGUGAGUUAGUUUCCUAUUCUAAUUUGAAUUUUAUCGGAUUUUUAUUUCCUACCCGAAAAUGAUUUCCUUUUUCGAUUAGGUUUCGGAUUCGCUGUGUAUAUAAGUAGGAGAUAUUCAGUGUUGGAUUGCAUAUUAGAAUUUUAGAAUUUUUAAUUGCAGUUGGUUGUCCGAUUCCUGCGGCCAUGGGAUCCCAGCCCCUGCCUUCUGCUUCUGAUGAGCAGUUGGCAUCAAAACUCCUCCUCAUCAAUGAUCUGCCUGAUGGCGUAUUGGUUGAAAUCCUUUGCCGACUUCCUUACAAAUACGCUCGUCGAAAUAAGCGUGUGUGCAAGCGGUGGUUGGCUCUCAUCUCUAAUUCUUAUUUUGCUGCCCGCAUUUUAUGCAUGCAAAUUGAUAGGAACAAACCCAUUACGCUGCUGCGUACUCUCUUGUUCUCGAACACUACCGCCAAACCUUCCCCCGCCGGAUUCACCUUUCGUCAUAUCAUCUUCGAUGCUCUGCUUUGGAAAACAAGCAUUGCAGCUCUUCACCUCAUCCCGCGGUUUAAAGGCACAAAAGAAAAGCUAGUGGUGGCCAUGUAUAAUGACUUAGUUUUGUGCUGCCUGACCAAGGAUGAUCCACAUAAAUACUACAUAUGCAAUCCAAACGCCCGGCAAUGUGUUGCCCUUCCUCCCGCCCCCCCCACACCACAAGAUCGCACAAGUGGGAUUCAUCUGCGAUCCCUACUAUGCCAGCCAAGAACAAGAUAAUGGUGGCAGUACUGGUACUAGUAUAACCACCAAUGAUGAGUAUCGGUGCAGGGUUGUGCGAAUUAUUCAACUUGGAAACUAUUUAUCUCAAUUUAAGGUGGACAUCUUCUCUUCAGAAACUGGUGAAUGGAGAGAAUCAGUUGUAUCAUGUCCACAACAAGGUAUUAGUUUUGAUUUCACCUUCAACCGUCCAGGCAUUGCUUACAAUGGAAAGUUGUAUUGGCCGAGUUAUGGUGGCGUUAUCGGGUUUGAUCCGUUUGCACCGCACAACGGUAACUAUGGGUGUCGGUUCAUUGAGUUUGAUGAGCCUUUGGACUAUACAAAAACGGUUGCGUGUCUAGGGAUUUGCCGAGGGCGCCUGCGGAUGUGCCAAUUACAGACGUGGAUGCCACCAGAAACAUUUUCUAAUCCCUAUAAUGAUGGUCGCCCUCUCAUUGUAUGUGUCUCGGAGUUGAAAGAAGAUGAGGCAGCCGGAGGAGGAAGAGUCAAAUGGUGUUUGAUACACAAGGCUUCCUUGGACGAAUUGGAUGUGGGGAAGCAUGAUUUCCUCAACGAUUGUAUAAGAUUGCGCUACAAGAUUCGGGUGCUAGCAGUGGACCCGAAUGAUGGGGAUAUUUUAUACUUGGAGAUGGGUGGACACAUAAUCAAAUGCAACAUUCAAGCAAGAACUUUAGAGAAACCUAGAGGUCAAAGGUAUGGUCGUAACACUUUUGAUUUUUGGCCUUGGAGAGACGUCUGGACAUAUGUGAUUCCAUGUUGGCCAACGCCAUUGCCUAGAGUUGGACUGCCGCCGCUGUCCAGAAAAAGAAAAAGAGAAGAAAAACAGGCUGCCAUAGUCUCCUAGCUAAUUUAUUUUGAUUACUACAGUGACUUAUUUUCUGAAUUUUUCGGUCACAUCAUGAUGUAUUAAACUAAACCGUUUUUGUUAAAACAUGUUUUGGCCAUUCUACAUUUCCUUCUCCGAUGAGGCGGCUAAGAAUGUUGUAUGACGAAAAUACAUUAAUCACAAUUUAAUGGACAAAGAGGUGUAUCCGUAGGGAUAGGGUGAACACUAAUAUUAUGCUUCUUUCAUCAUCUUGUAAGGUAAGAGUUAUUUUCCGAGAAAUGCUACAAGGUUGUAGAGAAAAUUGUUCAUAAGUGGAAAGUGGAAAACCCGGGUCAACAUUCUAAUCAUAAGUUUUCGAUCCUACUAUGAAUAAAGACUUGUAUAACAUUAGUACACCGCAAUUGUAAUGUUUAAAUAACAUAAUGUCAUGUGUAAAUUUAUCUCUACAAAAUAAUGGAUGAAUAGCACGAACGUUGUAUUAACAGUGUACUGUAUUACGGAAGCUGCUCUAGUGUAUUUGGUUUAUGACCCUCAUUUCACUUAAUUCCAUUACUAAAAUAUCAAUGCUUUACUGAGUUUUGUAUCUAUGAUAUAUCAAGCUAAUUUUCAAACAAACAGAGCAGAAAGCUCUGUUUCUUUUUCUUUUGUUUCUAUUUGUGUUGUGUGAGAGAAAUGACUCAGUGGUGUAUGCAAAGUACCAAUAACUGCAAAGCACUGCAGCAAACACCAACUCCAAUGGGGCCACGACAAUGAGAUGGCGUGUUCUUUGGCGCUAGUGAAUCAAAAUGAAGACUAGUCCAACAACUGCAACUUUCAAUCCUCCUUCCAAAUCUCCACAAUCGCCUCAUACUUGAUAGCAUCGUCCUCGUUCGCUGUUAAGGGGUGAGAUUGAAAAAUUGAAAACCGAAAAAAAUUGAAUUGAAUAACGAAUCAAAGUUUGAAAAAACCGUAUAAAAAUUAUUGGUUCAUUUUUGAUUUUGUUGAUUAAAAAACCAAACCGAAUUAAAUGAAAUAUAUAUUAAUUUUAUUUAUUUAUGUUUGUUAUUUAUUAUCUAAUCCAAACUUCAAACCAAUCAUUAACCCAAUUUAGGCUCAAAUAUGUUGAAAGUCAAACUUUAAGUCCAAAUAUGUUAAAAAGUCUUAUUACCUAGAAACCCUAGCAUGUCCUCUAUAUUGUAUUUGUUUUAUCCUCCUUUUUUUCUCCCCAGCCUCAUCUUCUUUCUCUCCCUCUUCUUUUCUUGUAUCAUUCUCUCCCAUUUCUCUCUCUUUUUCUUCUCCAAUCUUCCUCUCUCUCAUUUAUUUCCCUUUUUUUUUCCCUUCCCUGCCGCAUAUUCUUUUCUCUCUUCUUUCCCUUUCUCUGUAACUCUGCCUCUUUCUUCUCACUCAUCUUCUCUGUCACAUCGCCCAAUGGAAACUAAAGCUUAAGGAGUUGGAGGACUUAGAGGAGUCCAAGGACUCGGAGGAGUCAGAAUUUAGGCGAUCAAUUGUUCCACUAGAUUUGCUAUUUCUUGGUGAGUGUAAUGUCUCUGCAAACUUCUCGUGAAGACAUCUCUUUACAGAGGCAAGAUUCAUAGAGGAGUGUAUUGUUGAAACUACCUCAUUCACAACACAAGGUGUAUCCAAAUAAUUUAUUUAAGGAGACGGAGGUUGGGGCUUACCCUCGAGAAGAAGAGCAAACUAAAGCUUGAGGAACUGGAGGACUCAGAGGUGUCAAAGGACUCGAAGGAGUCGGAUCUUAGGUGAUCAUUGUGCUAUGGGGAGGUAACUUUCAGAAUGAUCGUCUAACUCUGAAUCCUCUGAGUCCUCCGGUUCCUCAAGCUUCAGUUUGCUAUGCUUCAUAAGGUAAGCCCCAACCUCCGUCUCUUGAAAAAAAUUCUAUGUAUACAUCUAUUGUUGUUAUCCCAUUGUGAGACACAGUGUACUCCUCCACCCCCUUAGAAACAAUAAUAUCUUUGACUUUCAACGAUCGGAGAAAAAACUCUCAAUGCUAAGAGAAUCGCUCUCUGAUCCUCUGCAUCUUAGUUUACUUGAAGCGUUUUUGGUACAUUAUGUCUCUAUUUCGAUCUUUGGGUUCUUAUCCGCUCUGGAUCGUAUAAGAACCCAAAGAUAAAAAAGAGAGAUGGAAUCAACCGAAAGCGCUUCAAGUAAACUAAGACGCAGAGGAUCAGAGGAUCAGAGGGCGGUUCUCCGAUCGUUGAGAGAUUUUUCUCCGAUUCGUUAAGAGUCUCACAAUGGGCUAAUAAUAAUGGGUGUAUCCAAAGAAUUAAUUUUUUUUCAGGAGACGGAGGUUGGGGCUUGCGAAACUAAAGCUUGAGGAGCCCGAGGACUUAGAGGACUCGGAGGACUCGGAAGAUUCGGAGGUUAGGCAAUCAUUCUGAAAGUUAGCUCCUCACAGCAGAAUGAUCGCCUAAGCUCCGACUCCUCUGAAUCCUUGGACUCCUCUGAGUCCUCCAACUCCUCAAGCUUUAGUUUGCUCGUUUUUCUCGAGUGUAAGUCCCAACCUCCGUCUCCUUAAACAAAUUAUUUGGAUACACCUUGCGUUGUGGAAGAGGUAGUUUCAACAAUACACUUUUCUGUGAAUCUUGCCUCUGUAGAGAUAUGUCUUCACGGGAAUUUGUAGAGACAUUGCACUCACCAAGAAAUAGCAAAUCUAGUCGAACAAUUAAACUAAACAAAUCAAAUUUCACAAUCAAGCACAUUAAGAAAUAGCAAACCUAGUCGAACAAAUGAAAUUCAUAAUAAAACACACCAAGAGAUAGCAAACCUAGUCAGACAAAUGAAAUUUCAGAAUGGAAUGCACCAAGGAAUAGCAAACCUAGUUGAACAAUUGAAUUGAACAAAUCAAAUUUCAGAAUCAAAAGCACCAAGAAAUAGCAAACCUAGUCAAGCAAAUGAAAUUUAGAAUCAAAUGCACCAAGAGAUAGCAAACCUAGUUAAACAGAUGAAAUUUCAGAAUGAAACGCACCAAGAAAUAGUUAACCUACUCGAACAAAUGAAAUUUCAAAAUGAAACGCACCAAGAAUAGUAGUUGAACAAUUGAACUAAACAAAUUAAAUUUCAUAAUCAAACGCACCAAGAAAUAGCAAACCUAUUCGAACAAAUCAAAUUUCAGAAACUAUAAUAUAGAUAUAUGAUCCAGAUCAAAUAAGAAUACAAAGACCGGAAGAGAGACGAAAUCUAUCGAAAAAAAUUCAAGUAAACUAAUGAGAGCUUAUUCUCCAAUCGUUGAGAGCUUAUUCUAUGAGAGGAAAUGGGAGAGAUGAGAGAGUCUUUUUUCUCAAAGAUGGAAUGGGAGAGAUUGCCAGAUUGGAGAGAGAGAGAGAAGCAAUAGUGACGGUUACAACGUCGAGUAUAAGAGCUCCAAGAGCCUAGUUGACUAGGCAAAUUUCUUUUGUUGAAAUGGAUUGGAGAGAGAACGUGAGAACCAAAAGUGAUGGUUACAAAUGUACAACGUCGAGUAUACCAGCUCCAAAGCCUAGUUGAUUAGGCAAAUUCAUUUUGUUGCCAAAAGAUUUACUCUUUUUCUUCUUAGAGAAUUCUAGGGUUUGCUAGAAGGUUUUUAGUAGGCCUGGCAAUUCCUAACACGACACAACACGAAAUUAACAGGUGUUCGGGUCGACACAAUAACGAAUUGGGUGGUUAUCGGGUAACCCAAUAAGCACCUGUUAAGAUAACGGGUUGGUUCGGAUACACGUAGGUAAUACGAUACACAAUAAGCAAAAUAUUAAUUUUAUAAUUAUAUAACCCUAAAAAAUACUAUAAUAAUUAUACAUAUAUAUAUAUAUAUAUUAAUUUAACAAUUUUAUACCCCUAAAAAUUAUAAAAAUUAUAUAUAUAUAUUAAAUUAAAUUUAAAAAAUUGGUGACCAUUGGAUCGGCUUAAAUAUACAUACCAUUCAAUUUCUUAAGUGUUAUACGUACAUAAUAAAUAAAUUUAAAUCUACUUAAUAAAUAUAUAUAUAUACCAUUGAACUUGAUGGGAUACGAAUUCUACAAAACUAAUUUCAACAAUCCAACCGUCAAACUUGUUUGUAUAUGCUUCGAGAUCGCAUCAGCAAAAUAUCGCAAAAAACAAACAUUCAGAGAUCAAGUAACGGGAUAAAACUUUUCGACGAUUAUAAAACGAAAAAUCACGAUUUAACGGUUAUUUUAACUCCGAUUUUGAUUAUUUUUUAUAGCUACACUCCUCGAUCCUAUAUGAAUACAAUGAAUGAAUUUGAUCUUCAAUUUAAAAUAUUUACACUAGUGGAUACCACACAAUCUUAUGUUAUACUUGAUGAAAGUAUAAAUAAACUCUAAGUGUUAGUGAAUCUAUCGUUUUGAUGGGAUACGCAUCCUACAAAACUAAUUUUAACAAUCCAACCGUCAAACGUAUUUGUAUAUGCUUCGAGAUCGCAUACACCAAAAAUCGCAAAAAACAAACAUUCAGAGAUCAAUGAACGAGACAAAACUUUUCGACGGUUAUAAACAAAAAAUCACGAUUUAACGGUUAUUUUAACUUCGAUUUUGAUGUUUAUUUUACAGCUACACUCCUAUAUGAAUACAAUGAAUUAAUUCAAUCUUCAAUUUAAAAUUUUUACACUUGUGGAUACCACAAAUCUUAUGUUAUACUUAAUGAAAGUAUAAAUAAACUCUAAGGGUUAGUGAAUCUAUCGUUGUAAUGGGAUACGCAUUCUAUGAAACUAAUUUCAACGAUUCAACCGUCAAACUUGUUUGUAUAUGCUUCGAGAUCGCAUACGCCAAAAAUCGUAAAAAAUAAACAUUAAGAGAUCAAGUAACAAGACAAAACUUUUCGACGGUUAUCAACGAAAAAUCACGAUUUAAUAGUGAUUUUAACUCCGAUUUUGAUGAUUUUUUUACAGCUACACUCCUUGACCCUAUAUGAAUACAACGAAUGAAUUCAAUCUUCAAUUUAAAAUAUUUACACUAGUAUGUUAUACUUAAUAAAAGUAUGAAUAAACUCUUUUAAGUGUUAGUAAAUCUAUUGUUUUGAUGGGAUAUGUAUUAUACGAAACUAGUUUCAACGAUCCAACCGUCAAACAUGUUUGUAUAUAGUUCGAGAUCGCAUACGCCAAAAAUUGCAAAAAACAAACAUUUAGAGAUCAAGUAAUGGAUAAAACGUUUUGACGGUUAUAAAACAAAAAAUCACUAUUUAUAUUUAACGGUUAUUUUAACUCCGAUUUUGAUUAUUUUUUAGAGUUACACUCCUUGAUCCUAUAUGAAUACAAUGAAUAAAUUCGAUCUUCAAUUUAAAAUAUUUACACUAGUGGAUACCACAAAUCUUAUGUCAUACUCAAUGAAAAUAUAAAUAAACUCUAAAUGUUAGUGAAUCUAUGUGAUGGGAUACACAUCCUACGAAACUAAUUUCAACAAUCUAACCGUCAAACUUGUUUGUAUAUGCUUCGAGAUUGUAUACACCAGAAAUCGCAAAAUACAAACAUUCAAAGAUCAAGUAAUGGAUAAAACUUUUCGACGAUUUUAAACGAAAAAUCACUAUUUAACAGUUAUUUUAACUUCGAUUUAUUUCCCUUUUUUUUCUUGUCAUCAUUCUCUCCCAUUUCUCUCUCUUUUUCUUCUCCAAUCUUCCUCUCUCCCAUUUAUUUCCCUUUUUUUUCCCUUCCUUGCCGCAUAUUCUUUUCUCUCUUCUUUCCUUUCCUUUGUAACUCUGCCUCUUUCUUCUCACUCAUCUUCUCUGUCACAUCGUCCAAUGGAAACUAAAGCUUAAGGAGUUGGAGGACUUAGAGGAGUCCAAGGACUCGGAGGAGUCAGAAUUUAGGCGAUCAAUUGUUCCACUAGAUUUGCUAUUUCUUGGUGAGUGUAAUGUCUCUGCAAACUUCUCGUGAAGACAUCUCUUUACAGAGGCAAGAUUCACAAUCAAGAUAAUAUAAGCAAGAUAAUAUAAAUUCUUUUUUUUCUAACAAAAAAAUUAAAAGGAGAUUAGCUAUUCUCACCACCACUGCCAGGACACAUAUAAAUUUAUUUUCACAAUCAAGAUUCUAACCCAAUCUUUUAAAUAGUAUAUGAAUUCACCACAACACAUGUAUGAAAAUAUAGCUUUUAGAAGGCUAGAAAUUUGAGCAUGCAAAUUUUCACCCUUUAUGAAAUUACAUGACUAAUAUCAAUUAAAAGUUUGGCAGUAUAAAAAUGCAUGUUAAGAAAUACUUGAAUUAUGAUGAAGUAUUAUCUACUAUUGAGGGAGCAUCACUUGUCAAAACAUGAGAGUCCAACAUGAGUUUAAAAGAUUUUGAAUUUCUUCACUCAUGAAUCAACAAUUAAUUUUGAGUUGGAUGAUUUUGUUAUGAUAUUAUAUUAAAGUUAAAUUAUUCACGUAGCUGACCUAAUAUUCUAAUUAGAGUUAAGUUGUUUAUGUGUUAAUCUAACAUAUUUAACGAUUUUAUGUGCUCUCACAUUACCAAAUACUCACAAAUAGACAUUAAUGUUAUCGUUAUUAAACUAUCAAAGAUAGACAAUUGAUGUUAACGUCAUUAAACUAUCAAAGAUACUUAUACAACGUGUUUUUCCCUUCCAAAAUGGCAAUUAGAUUACUAAAUAAUAAUUGUUUAGAAAAGAAUCAUAAUUAAGUGGUGACAUCCGUAGUUGUCUGCUCCCCCGCACACUCUCGUUUCUCAUACAAAUCGUGUCGGGCCAAAAAUCCCUCCCCAAUACGUUCACCUUUUUAUUUUCCUUUUCUUUUUAUUUCCACCCCGUUUAAUUUCUCCCGCGGCGCACUUUAUACAGCCGACCUUCCCAAUUUUCCUACUCAACGCUGACGUGCUCACUUCACUCCCUUCGUCGAAUCCAUUAACGCCACCGCGGUAGAGCUCCGCCGCACACAGGUCUGACCUCCGCCACCCCUCUCUUUUACUCCCAGUAGGCCUUAGUAACUGGAUGAAAAACCGUAGGUAGAUUUCGUAUUUUUUAAUUCUUUUUUUCUUCUUCUGUAUUUUCAAUGGUAGAAUUUCUCGAUUGAGGACUUAGAGUAGAGGGAGGCCAUUGGCAGAAUGCGGAGAGGAGCUUACUCGUUGGCAGAAGCUUAUCGAGGAUUUGAAUUUUGCAAGUUUUAGAAUUGUGAAUGUUUGUGUUUGUCUGCGAUUUGAUGGGUGUUCGGAUUUCUAGGGGUGGUUUCAAUUUAUGAUGAUUGUAGCUGCAUUGCUCAAGGGCGGGGUGCAUGUGAAUCAUGAGCCUUAAUUUUUUGACAAUAGAGAAGUGGAAGGUGAUGAUUGGUUUCCCUGAUUUGGGCACUGAAGCUGGAUUAGGGUUAUGAACGACUCCGUUUUCGUAAAAAGAUAUGGUUGACAAAAUUGAUGGGAAGGAGAAGAAGUCCGGCCUUAAGAUAAGAUCGAAGUUUGUCGAGGCGAAUAUGGUUGAUUCUGAGGAUGAUGAGCCAAUUGGGUCACUGUUGACGUUGAAGAGGCAGACAAACCCUAAGAAGGUUAAGGGUGGCGGCGAAAGGGGCAAGAAGGUUGACGAUGAAGAAGAUGAUUUGGGGUGCCUGGAUGAUACUUUGGCAAGUUUGAGGAAGAAGUUGAAGGGUCCCAAGAAAGAUUAUGGGACUGGAACUAUGAGGGGAAGGAGUUUUGCUUUGGAUAGUGUACAGUCUGCGGAGCGGUACUCUAAUGGGCAUGUGGACGACGGGGGUUUGGAUGGAAAAUCGGUGUCAAGGGUUUUAGAGAAAGAUCCUGUUAUGGGUGAUGAUGGAUCUGAUGUGACUAUCGGUAUAGAGGUAGAAAACAAGCUUAAUGGAAAGGGAAAGAGACCCAAGAUUUCAGGGUCUCUGGGAUUUGGGGAAGGUUCUAAUUGCCUUUUGGAUCAUCAUCCGGAAGAUUCAUUAUCAGCAUUUUCCCGGAAGUCACAAUCUGGUUUGAUUAUGAAUUCUCGUGCCUCUUCAAGUCCUAAAGAGAAGAGUGGUUCUAAGGUUUUGGAGGAUGGGUUGAACACCAUGCCUUUGGCUGGUUCAAAUCCAUUGGAUUCAGCCUCUGAUCUGUAAAGAAGAUGAAAGUCAAAGUUUUGAUGACAGAUUUUGUCAAGCCUCUAACCGUCACAGGGAAAAUCAAGAGACAUUCAACGAUAAAAAGCAUAAAAGGCCCUACAAAGUCGUUUCAGAAGAUCGAGUUCCUAUCUACUCACAUUCAGGAUUUGAUUCCAAAUUGAUUAACAAUGAAGCCAUAGUGGAUCCUUCUGGUUCAAAUUUUCAAGAGGGACCAUGCAGACGAAGUUAAUGAUGGAGACAAAAAACAUUUGACACAGGAAAUGCAAACUUUUGAGGAUGGAUUGAAGAACUGCUCUAUGGGAGGUUCCAUUCAGUACAAGAUGUUUUGGGUAGAUGCACCUCAGCUGCAGACUGUGCAACCUCUUCUCCAGCUCGGAAAGGAAUUCUGCGGCCUCGUUAUAAUGAUGAUCUUCUGGAUAAGUCAUGUGAAGAUAUGUCGGAGGACAAACAGUUGGUGUCCUCGUUACAUCUACAACAGAACUCCUUGACUGAUUCCAUGUCAAGAUUGGGGAUGAGCUUGGUUCUGAUUGGUGUCCAAAGUUUUCCCAGCGUACUCAACAUCAGUUGUCGAACUUUGCCUCCAACAAUCUGGGGAUGGAAGACACCCGCAGUAAUUGUAAUGGUCUAAUUUCUUACACUAAGAAUCCUGGCCUUGCUUCUGGUCCUUUGCGGGAGGAAAAUGAUGUGCCAAAUCAUGAUCAUCUUAUCACUAGUGAAGAGGCUGAUGAAAAUGAGAGUUUCCCAGAAGAUACAGUAUCUCUACCAGAUGUUGAAAACAAAAACACUAAGCUAUCAGCUGUCCAGCGUGUGGGGUGCAUUGUUAAAAAGCGUAGGCAUGGAGACAUGGCUUACGAGGGGGAUGCUGAUUGGGAGGUAUUGAUAAAUGAUCAAAGUUUGGAUAGUGACAAUUUGAGAGUGAAGUUUGACUCCUCUUCAAGUAUCGGUACAGAGUCUGAAAGUGGUGAGGCUGCAGCAGUGUCUACUGGUCUUAAAGCUCAUGCAGUUGGUCCUGUUGAGAAGAUCAAAUUCAAGGAGAUCUUGAAGCGCAGAGGUGGGGUUCAGGACUAUUUGGAAUGCAGGUUAGUAGUUAAUUCUGAAAUCUGCAUAUGAUAUGGGUUUCUUGUACGAAUUGCAGUCUUUCAGAAAUUUGUACUUGAUACUAAUUAUAGCUGUUACUUUAUCCAUUUUACUUGAUAAUUCUUACUAAUUAUUCAAAUGUUUUGGUUUUCUGUCGCAUCCAACUAAUGCUAAGUUCUGUUUGGAGGGUCGAGUUUUCUUUUUAAAUUUUGAUGCCGCUUUGCUUAAGUUGACAUUAAUAAAAUUGAUGGUAUAUUUAUGUUUGUAUUAGUGGCAUUUUGGUUUAGAUAUUUUUUUUUCUCUUCUUUAAGUGGUUGUGUCCAAGUUUUGAGGUGUGGUCUUCUCUUCUUUUGAAUGAAAAUAUUGUAUCAAUUUUUCAAUGUAGUUCAAAAUUUUUUUUCUUCUGGUUUAAUUGUUUUGCCUGAUAAGCUCUAUCUUGUUUAGUUAAGCACUGCUUGGUGCAAUACAGGAAUCAGAUCCUUGCUCUGUGGAAUAAAGAUGUUAGUCGAAUUUUGCCUCUCGCUGACUGUGGGGUAACAGAUACUGCUUGUGCGGAUGAACCACCUCGUGCUUCCCUAAUUAGGGAUAUUUAUACAUUCCUCGAUCUCAGUGUAAGUCUAUAAAGCCUUUUAUGGAUUUUUAUAUGUUCCAAGUUCAAUAUUGAUCAGUCUUCUUCUUCUUCUUCUUUUCCUAGUGUCUUUUCAUUCUUGCAUUUCCUAGGGAGGGAUUGCAGUAUUAGCUUGUCUUAUCUUUCUAAUGUAUGAAAACCUGGACAGGGCUAUAUAAAUAUUGGGAUUGCUCGUGAGAAGGAUAAAGCGGAAUCUGAUCCCAAGCAUGACUAUAAAAUUCUGAGAGAAAAAAAUUUUGAGGAAAUUUUUGGGGUUUCAGUUGCUGAUUCAGAGGAUGGAGUUUCCUUUAUCACAGGCCAGGUUAAGAGUUCUAAAACUAAAAUUGAUGCGAAGAGUGGUGUCAUAAUUAAAAGCGACAAAUUGACUCAGGAAGUCACAAAAGACAACGGGCUUGUAACCACAGCGGCAUUGGAAUUGUCCAAUACAAAAAACCAUGCUGAGUUUGAGGCUGAUCACCCGGAAAACACCAGUGUUGAUGCAAGGUUACAAAGUAAAUUGGACAACAUGGAUGUUUCAAGUAUUUAUCCAAUUAGUGAGACAUUGGGUGAUGGAGGCAUCCCUCAUGAAACUCCAGAGUUAAAGAAUGUAUCACACAGUACUCAGUGUGCAUCACAAGAUCAUGCAGUGAGGAAUAAUAAUCCGCAAUGCUGUCCGGAAGUGAAAAAGAAAAUCAUUGUCAUAGGUGCUGGUCCUGCUGGAUUAAUUGCUGUAUGCAACUUGCAACGUCAGGGCUUUUCAGUCACUAUAUUGGAAGCUAGGAGUAGGAUAGGGGGCCGUGUUUAUACAGACAGGUUAUCUCUAUCAGUUCCUGUGGAUCUUGGUGCUAGCAUUAUAACGGGUGUUGAAGCUGAUUGGGCGACUGAAAGACGACCAGACCCCUCCUCUUUGGUUUGUGCACAGCUGGGCCUUGAGUUGACUGUCUUAAACAGUGAUUGCCCUCUUUAUGACAUUGCAACAGGUGACAAGGUUCCUGCAGAUCUGGAUGAAGCAUUGGAAGCAGAGUUCAACAGCCUUCUUGAUGACAUGGUAUUGCUUGUUGCACAGGAGGGAGAACAGACAAGAAUGUCUCUCAAGGAAGUUUUGUAAUAUGCCCUCAAGAGGCGUUGUAUGGCAAAAACAGCGACCAGUGUUGAAGAAAAAGAACUGCAUGGUUUAAUGGAUGGUUUCAUUCUAAGGUCGUACCCAGUGCACAAGGCUCCCGCUUUACGCAGGGUCUGGGAGAGGUGAAUGUCGGCUAGCCUUACCCCCAUUUAUGGAGAGGCUGCUCCCAAAAAAAAAAAUUGAUAGAGCUGAGAAAAGUUGUCAAAAGCUAGAGCUUUUGAGCCCUCUUGAGAGGAGGGUCAUGGAUUGGCAUUUUGCCAAUUUGGAUUAUGGUUGUGCUGCUCCACUGAAGGAGGUAUCUCUCCCCAACUGGAACCAGGAUGAUGUUUAUGGUGGCUUUGGAGGAGCUCACUGCAUUAUUAAAGGGGGUUACAGCACUGUUGUUGAGUCUCUUGGAGAAGGACUUCAAAUUCACUUGAAUCAUGUAGUCACUGAUAUUUCAUAUGGCACCAAGGACGCUGGAUUGAACACUAACCGGUAUAACAAAGUCAAGGUUUCCACAUCUAAUGGCAGCGAUUUUUCAGGAGAUGCGAUUUUGAUUACGGUGCCUCUUGGGUGCUUAAAAGCAGAAACCAUCAAAUUUUCCCCACCAUUGCCCCACUGGAAACAUUCUUCCAUCCUGCGGCUUGGGUUUGGAGUUCUUAAUAAAGUAGUUUUGGAAUUUCCAGGUGUCUUUUGGGAUGAUUCUGUGGAUUACUUUGGAGCAACUGCUGAGGAAACAGAACUGAGGGGCCAGCGCUUUAUGUUCUGGAAUGUCAAGAAAACCGUCGGGGCUCCUGUUUUCAUAGCCUUAGUGGUUGGUAAGGCAGCUAUAGAUGGGCAAAAUAUGAGCUCUUCUGAACAUGUUACCCAUGGGAUAGUGGUUCUUCGUAAAUUGUUUGGAGAGGCUUCAGUACCUGAUCCUGUUGCAGCAGUUGUGACAGAUUGGGGUAAGGACGGUGCCUACUCAUAUGUUGCUGUUGGAGCUUUGGGGGAAGAUUAUGAUAUACUAGGGAGACCUGUUGAGAACUGCCUAUUUUUUUGCUGGUGAAGCUACCUGCAAGGAGCAUCCUGACACUGUUGGUGAUGCGAUGAUGAGUGGCCUCCGGGAGGCAGUGCGUAUAAUUGACAUACUGACUACUGGAAAUGAUUACACAGCAGAAGCAGACGCCAUUGCGGGUAUUCAGAGACAAUCAGAUUCGGAAAGGGCUGAAGUUAGACACAUAACAAGGAGACUUGAUGCAGUUGAACUUUCAUAUGUCCUUUACACGAACAAGGAGGCCCUACUCCAGGACAUGUUCUUUAAUGCAAAGACUACCAAAGGAAGGUUGCAUCUGGCCAAAGAGUUAUUGAGUCUUCCUGUUGAAACCUUGAAGUCCUUUGCUCGCACCAAAGAAGGGCUGACUACUCUCAACUCGUGGAUACUGGUAAUUCUGCAUCCAUAUUUAUCAUUGUUUAUACCAUAUUUAGGGCCUCGUAUUUAGAUCUCGUACAAAUACUCAGGGGACUUAAAUGUAAUUAUGGGAUAAAGGAAGGGGCAAAUAUGUAAUAGAGGAGGAGCCCCUUAUUCUAUAAAAGGGGACUCCUACCCUCAUUCUAGGGGGAGCCUCACUCUCAUCCUCAGAGGCCAAUUCCUAGGUCUCUCCUCAUCCCUCUCAAAGCUUCCUCACAUCCCCUAAGCUCUAAGCUCUCUCUUCCUCUUCAACAGAGAAAUACAAUACAAUCAGUGUGGACGUAGCCCAAACCUUGGGGUGAACCACGAUAACUCUUGUGUCAAUUACAUUUUAUGCAGAUUCACGGUCGGAUUUACGUUGUUCCAAGAUCUCCGGUUUUGUGCAUCAACAUUUGGCGCCGUCUGUGGGAAACGACACGAAAAGUUAUGUCGGUUCUCUCUCGAUUCUUCACCUCCACCGUGAAUCUGCAUAAACACCAAACCAAAAUCUCAGAUCUCGCUCUCUAGAAACCCAGAAAUGGGGCCAGCGAAAAAGCCCAACUGAGAAAUAAGGAGCCAUUCUUAAUCUCGCCAGCCCGAACUCACAACUUACAGCUCCAUGCUUCAGAAAAAUGAAGGUCCCCUGCUACCCUUCCGCGAAUUCUCAGUCUGAAAUCACAACUUGCAACUUUCAGUCUUCCAUCUCUCAGGCUGGCGAUUAUCGACAAAUUUCGCCAAACCCACCACCCAUGUCUACCACUACCACAGCAACAGCUGGUUCCACGAAUGCGCCAAGUGGUAUGAUCUCAACCGUCGCUUCAUUGUCUCCUCCAUAGACAGCGGAAGACAACGCGGUUUGUGCCCAAUCAUCACAAGCCGUAUGAUCAAAUCCCCCGACUCUUCUCGGCCCUCUAGAAGUUCGGCAAACCUGCACAGACCACCCCACCGUCUCAACCCGAACCCAAAUGCGAGCCCAAACCCGCAACUGGCAAACGCUUCAAUCGACUCCUUGUUCGAUCAGGCCACUCUGAUCUGCAAGAGCAUCGCGAGGAAGGUGUUCCUGCACGAAUCAUAUCAGGAAUACAAUUUCUGUACGAAACUAUGCCACAUCAAUUCGAAACCAUGAGUUUUGCUGCAACCACCAAACUCCUCUUCAAAGUCCUCUGCUAUGGCGAUUAUAUCAUUGUGGUCGGAGGUGGAGGGCCAAAGGUUCGACUCGGCAACCACAAAACUGACCAAUCCCGACGCCCCCUGCCUCUCCGAGCUCGUCCACCACUUCCUCCAAGACGACGAGUCGUCCGCCGCUGGUUUUCCCGAUAACGAGUCUGACUCGGACCAAGUCGACUCGGCCUCCGACGCGGACGCAAUCAACUCCAUCCUUAGGUCAGUGGCAUCUUCUGAAGCGCAAGAUUAGAGAACAAGGAUGUGAUCGACUCUAUCCUUAGGUCCGUGGCACCUUCACGUUCGGGAAGAAGGACACGUCGACGGAUCUGUACUCGAUCUGUUCAGUCAAACAGAACAAGAUUAGGAGCCAUGCAAUCGGGAAUCAGGAAGUUGCUAGUGGAAUCGAUGACGGACUUCGUUUCGAACAUGGUGGACAAGUCAGCGUACGCGCUGAGCGUCCCCGUAUCGGUAUUGGAGGCCUGCACGGCGUUGGUAGAGGAAGGCAGAAUUCCGGUGCAGGUGGAGAUCAUAGAGGCGGGGUCGCAGCGGCAGAAGGAGAUAUCAGUUGCGAUAUAUUGUUGCAGAUUUGUGAGAAUAGUGCUCCCAAAAUUUACUGGCACGUAACCUUCGAUUUUGUUAAAACCCAAAUCAAGGGCGACGAGCUCUCCACCGCCAUUGCGCUCCGGGAUCUCGACACCUGUCAGGUUGUUAUUCACCAAGUCAACUUGCUGGAUAGACGGGAGGAGAAAGAACUAGAGCAUCUGAAGUCUGAACUCUCUCUCUCCCUCCGCUGUCAACUCUCUUAGUCUCGCAGUCAACUCGGACAAGGGAAACAGCUAAGAAGCUUGUGGGCAUUUCAUUGCAUCCAUAACUAGCAAGAAUGAUGAUGUUGAAAAUAGAGCAAGCUUGUGCGAAUACUAUUGUUUUAUGCGCUGGAUCCCAUUGUUUUUUAUGAAGGAGAGAAACCGCCUGGUAGAGAGAUUCUAGAAACAUCUGCAAGAAAUCUCCUUCUCAGUGAUGGGACUAAAGUUGCUGUCAAGAACAAAGAAGGAGUGGAGACAGCGCAGGAGCCAGCAUUACACACCACUUGGCCUUACGGAUCAAGGACAGAGAAUGAGUGGAGAGAUAAAGAAUAGCAAAUGGUCAUUGAGGUGGGGUUUCUGAAGACAAAGACAUCGAGUGGGAGGCCACGUUCUUUACGUUAUUUACAUUUUUUACAGCUGGAGUACACCAGCUUGUGUUCAAACAGCAGAAACCAGGCUGAAAGAGAAAGGCAGUGGCGGACAAAGCAAAAAGAAAAGAGAAAGAAAAGGGAAAGUAAAAACAAAAGCAAGUGAGUGUGUCUGGAGGUGGAGAGAUCAAAGAAAGGAACAGAAAAGAAAAAGAUCAUGUUGUUGGGAGAAUAUUUCGGAAAGCAGAAAAGGAGAAAGCAAAAGGAAAAGCAGAAAAUGAAAAGAGAAAAGAAGAAAAGCAAAAGAUCUUCCUAUUAUUAUGAUUCCUUAUGUCUGCCAGAUAAAGAACCAAAGAGAGUGCAGCAGAAAAACACUGCAAAAGCAUGGAAUAAGCACCCCACCAGAAUGAUGUAAUUUAUUUUCCUUAUCUUUCGGACACAUCUGUAUAAACCCCAUCAGAGGGUAAAAUAAAAAAAAAAAAAAAAAAAAAAAAAAAAAAAAAAAAAAAAAAAAAAAAAGAAGAACAACGACAAGCCCAAAGUAAAUGGGCUGGAAUGUUGUGUAGAGGGCGAAAACCCAUAAGCCCAAAAUAGCUCCAACCAGACGAUCAAAAGUACGCCCAGUACUCCAAAUUAUACAUGAGCACUACUCAUGUCAUUCAUACAUAAACAUUCAUGAGCAUCACUCAUGACAAUCAUACAUAAACAUUCAUGACCAUCAUUCAUGACAACAUUCAUGAGCAUCACUCAUGUUAACAUUCAUGAGCAUCACUCAUGACAACAUCCAUGAGCAUCACUCAUGUUAAUCAACAUAAACAUUCAUGAGCAUCACUCAUGUCAAACAGCUUCAAAAGAUUCAUUUACAGAGCCCUAGCUUCAAAAGCUUCAUUUACAAAAAAGCUCUAGCUUUAAAAGCUUCAUUUACAGAGCUCUAGCUUCAAAGACUUCAUUUACAGAGCUCUAGCUUCAAAGACUUCAUUUACAGAGCUCUAGAUUUAAAAGCUUCAUUUACAAAAGCUCCAGUUUCGAAAGCUUCAUUUACAGAGCUCUAGCUUCAAAGCUUCACUUGCAAAGCUUCACUUACAAAGCUUCAGUGCAGGGUAUACAAAUACCACAUCCGAACAACCGCCACUUCGGCCCAUACAUGGAUUCAAUUUGAAGUCUCCAGCCAACAGACUCUAUUGACCGAAGACUUGGGGGACUACAUUAUGUACCAUAUAUUAGGCCUCAAUUGGGCCUCAUAAAAAAUACUUGGGGGACUCUAGCCCAUCACUUAUGUAUUGAGGAGUGAGCCCUUAUUCUAUAAAAGGGACUCCCUCACCUUCAUUAGAGAGAAACGCCGCCAGCUGAGCAACCGCCUCGCCGCGAGCAUCAACUCUAGCCCAUCAUUUAUGUAUUGAGGAACGAGCCCUUAUUCUAUAAAAGGGACUCCCUCACCUUCAAACGCCACAAGCCGAGCCAACCAAGGCAACACAAGCUACAAGCAGAGCGGCCUCGCAACAUGUGCUACUUCUAGUUGAGCAUCAUUUCAGAUUGGGCACCGCCUCAUAUCAAGCAUUAGUUCUAGACGACAUCUAGUUACUUCGGCCCACACAUGGACUGAAUUUCAAGUCUCCAGCCAAAAGACUCUCUUGACUGAAGACUUGGGGGACUACUGUUUAUACCAUAUUUAGGGCCUCGUAUUUAGAUCUCGUACAAAUACUCAGGGGACUUAAAUGUAAUUAUGGGAUAAAGGAAGGGGCAAAUAUGUAAUAGAGGAGGAGCCCCUUAUUCUAUAAAAGGGGACUCCUACCCUCAUUCUAGGGGGAGCCUCACUCUCAUCCUCAGAGGCCAAUUCCUAGGUCUCUCCUCAUCCCUCUCAAAGCUUCCUCACAUCCCCUAAGCUCUAAGCUCUCUCUUCCUCUUCAACAGAGAAAUACAAUACAAUCAGUGUGGACGUAGCCCAAACCUUGGGGUGAACCACGAUAACUCUUGUGUCAAUUACAUUUUAUGCAGAUUCACGGUCGGAUUUACGUUGUUCCAAGACCUCCGGUUUUGUGCAUCAACAAUCAUCAUUCAAUCAAAUAUGAAUUCACAAUAUGUUGACUCACACAUAUUUUGUUGUUGAUAGCAUCCAAUGUUUGCUUUCUCGGAGAUUUUGUUUUUCUUAGGGUAUAAAUUUCCUUACUACAACAGGACUCGAUGGGGAAGGCUGGGACUCAACUCUUGCGGCAUUGUGUUCGGCUCCUUGUGCUUGUUUCAACGGACCUACUGGCUGUGCGCUUAUCUGGUAUUGUCUCUUUAUUUCUCAAUCUUUAUCUACUGGCAUUCCUAUGUGCAUUAAUGGGUAUCAUAAUCAUUAGAAUGUAUUUCUUCAAAAUUAGUUAAUCUCUUGUUUGUUGUUGCAGGCAUUGGGAAAACUGUACGAGAAAAAGUUUGUGUACAUACGAGCCGUGAUAUACGUGCCAUAGCUAGUCAGCUGGUUAAUGUGUGGCUUGAAGUUUUCCGCAAGGAAAAAGCUUCCAAUGGUGCGUUGAAGUUGUCAAGGCAAGCAACUGCUGCAGAUGCAUUGAGGAGAAAACCAAUUAGAGAUCCAUCUUCUGGUAAGCUGCCUCUACGCACAUUUCAUGGUUGUUUAGAGCACAAAGGAAGCUUACAGGAUUCAGCAUCCACCGCAAGCCAUUUGCCUUUGAAUGCAAAUGGUAAGAAAGUGAAUGGCAAACCCAUUAAGGGUGAAACAGCAAAUUCCUCAAAAUCGGAGAUUAAUUCAUCAAGGUUUCGAGGUUCAACUGGCAGACCACAUUCUGAGCUAAAGGAGAAUGACGUUGCUGUGACAGAAGCGGAACGAGCUGCCAUUGCUGCUGCUGAAGCAGCCCAUGCAGCAGCACGUGCAGCUGCCGAGGUUUGUUCCCCUUGAUUCUACUCAAAUUAGUGUGAUACUGCCUAUCCCCUUCCUAUUUGUGCCACUUUGUUCUGCAGGAAUUUAGUUAUCGUUGUUCAUUGUAGGCAUAUGCAUCUUCAGAAGCCAAGAGUGGUACUCUGCUUCUGCUUCCCAAGAUUCCCUCAACUGGAUGAGUAUGAUUUUAGGAGGAAGUGGUCAGGUGGUGUUUUGGGUAGACAAGAUUGUAUAUCAGAAAUAGACUCAAGAAACUGCAAAGUUAGGGACUGGUCUGUUGAUUUCUCUGCCGCUUGCGUCAAUAUUGAUAGUUCAAGAAUGUCAGUCGAUAAUCUCUCCCAGCAGAGCAAUCCAAAUGAGACUGGUAGUCAAACAAAUUUCAGAGGGCACUCAGGAGAGAGUGCUGCUGUUGACAGCAGUAUUUAUACAAGAGCAUUGGUUGAUACAGCUGGUAGUGCCGGGAUAAAGGAUUAUCAUGCCAUUGAGAUGUGGCAAUCUCAAGCAGCUGCAGUAGACCCUGAUUUCUUCCAUCCAGAACCGUUUAUAUGUGAUGAGGAAGAUUCAAAUACGGCUUCAAGAAAACACUGCUGGAAGCAUGAAGGACCUGUAAAUGAGGGCUCUGUUUCCCAAGUUACUGUGAACAAGGAGUCAUUAAAAAAUCAUCAUCGAGGAGCAGAUAAUAUUAAGCAGGCUGUUGUCGGGCAUCAUUGCUUAUGCCCCUUUAUAAAGCUGAAAAGAUAGAUAGAGAGGGAUACGAGUCAAUCAUGAAGAAAAGUGCUACCAAAGUUGGUCGUUUUUCAUUUUUCCUUCCUGACAUACUAAACAGAAAAUAUACCAUGCUUUCCAGUCAAAUUUUGUUGCAAUUUUGUUGAGCUCAGUUUUGCAACUAUUCCUAUUGUUUUUAUUUACAGUCUUAAAUUUUUGGGGAACUCAAUUUCAACUGACAAAUUUUUGUGCAAUUCAUAUUUUGAAAUAAAUUUACAGCAAAAAUUGUUUCCGUUUCCACUCCGUGGUUCAAGAACUGGUUCACCAUUUCUUUCUAUAGGCCUACAUGGUAUCUUUUUCUGUGGUUGUCAAUUUGCUUGUCUAGGUUGCAGAGCCUUUGGGAGCAAUGGUAGUGGGAGCGCCCUUGGAGGAUGCUCGACAUCUUGCUCCACGAUAAGCUAGAAUGCGGCAAGAUGCUGAAGCUCAGGUAUGUGCAGUUUCUUCACCUUUUUACCAAUGUUUUACUACAUUGAAUUUAUAUGUUCCAUAGGUGAGCUGUUUCUUUUGCUUUUACCAUUUCUUGUUGUCCAUUUUGAGGGAUUCAUUCAUUGAUAUAUAUAUAUCUAUAUAUAUAUAUAUAUAUAUAUAUAUAUAUAUAUUAUUACUAUGACUCAUUAAGUGAAACCAAAUGCACUAUAUUGCAGGGCUGAUUGAGUAAAAAUGAAAUUUCAACUGACAAAUUUUUGUGUCCAUUUGAUUAUUUCGAAAUGAAUUUACAGCAAAAAUUGUUUCCAUUUCCAUGCCGUGGUUUAAGAACCGGACUACUUUUCUGUGUUUUUAUGCAUCAUAUGACAAAAUGGUUCACUAUUUCUUUCUAUAGGUUUACAUAGUAACUGUUUCUGUGGUUAUCAAUUUGCAUGUCUAGGUUGCAGAGCCUUUGAGAGCAAUGGCUUGUUCUAGUCACAAUUAUGGUGGGAAUGUGAUCGUACUGCAUGUUAUUAUUGUAUAUAUAUUGCUUGCAGAUAUAUGUAUAUUGUUGUGUAUAUUGCAUGAGUUACAUGACAAAAGUACAAUUUAAUUUAAGGAAAACUAGUGAAAAUAGCUUGAAAAUUUUGAGUUUUAACGAUAAGGACAAAAUAAAGGGUAAAGUGAAUAGUACCAAGAUUGACUUUUUAGUGUAAAAAUAUAGUUUUUCGUUAAAGUGAACAGUACUGUAGGCUUUUCGUUAAAACUCCCUUUAAUUUAAUCCAACUCUGUAAAGAUAUUGCAAAUUAACUCAAAGCGAUGGAUUCGGAGAUGGAAAUGAUAAUCACACGUCGUUUUUCUUGUUAUACACAUUAUUAUUUUAAAAGGAAAACUAAUGAAAAUGAUUUAAAAACUUUGAGUUUGAACGAUAAGGACAAAAUAAAGAGUAAAGUGAAUAAUAUCAGGAUUGACUUUUUAGUGUAAAAAUAUGAUUUUUCGUUAAAGUAAACAGUACCAUGAGUUUUUUGUUAAAGUUUCCUAUUUUAAAAUCAUCAAAUUGAAUAAAGCAAACGGAUAACGAAUACAUUUAAAUAAUCAUGUGUGAAAAAAAAAUGUGUGUGAUUAUCAUUUCUCGUCAAAUAUUAAAAAAAACUACUUAUAAGUGGUCCUAUGGAUAAGCUAAGAUAGAAAUAAUAGUACUGCUGUGUAGGAUUUAUUGAUCGAGAAGAGAGCAGUCUGAUCAGACGAGCGUGCCAUAAGUGGGCGAGAGUGGGGACAUUGGAGAAGGCUGUGAAGUGAAGCAUGCAUGUCGCGCAACUGCCAUUUAACCUAAUUUUUCCAGCCUAGACUGUAAAAAGUUAUAGAUCUAUACAGCUGGGGACAAAAGUGAGACACAAGGCACACUUCUGUUGAAAUGAAGAGGAGCACGAUUAGGGUUUUCUUAGAGAUCUAGGGUCAAGUGGGGACAAGGUCUAGUUGUCAACAGCAAGACUUGUGAAAAAAAUUUUAGAAUACAUCCGUAAAUACAUUGUUAAAUUUAACAGCUAAAUUACGUAACCAGUUUAUGUCUAUAUAAGUAAAAGGUACCACUGUUGACAAUCGCCAUGCUUCGCACAGCAUAUGCGCAUCGAUUUUCGUUCUAACGUUCUAAAAUUAGUAUACAAAUGCAUAUGGCUGCAGUAGUGAUGAGAAAGUUAUGGGUCGUCUUGUUUAUUGUGACGGCGACUGUUGGUUCGGAAGCUGCCGGUAGUAAGUUAGAAAAUGGCAUGGCUAAUAGUACUCAUCACGAGCAAGGCAAUAGUUCUUUUUUAGCUGUUGCUGAAAUUCCUUCCGCAGGAAUUAAUGGAGAAGUAAAGAACGUGACUACUUCCUACACAACUGAAGUUGAUAUCAACAACAAAAAGAAGCAACCUAAUUGGAUGUCCAGAGGAGGAGGAGGAGGAGGGGGAGGGGGAGGGGGAGGCGGUGGUGGAGGUGGUAAUGGGGGUGGAGGUGGAGGCGGAGGAGGCUAUGCAUGGGGUUGGGGUGGUGGUGGCGGCGGAGGAGGAGGUGGAAAAGGAGGAGGUGGUGGGUGGGGAUGGGGCUGAGGAGGAGGAGGGGCAGGGUGGUGGAAAUGGGGUUGUGGUGGUGGAAAAGGAAAGGGCCGAGGAGGAAGAGGCGGCAGAAACAGUAACCAUGUCUACAGCGGCCGGAAGAGGAGGUUCGACGAGGAAGAGUACGUGAUGGGAGAGUUUGCAAAAUGCAUGCGGAAGGGGCAAUGCAAAGGCAUGAGAUUGGAUUGCCCUCUUCACUGCGGGGGGCCUUGCUUCUACGACUGCCAACCCAUGUGCAAGGCUCACUGCCGACGACGUCGUACUGGAUCAUCACUGGCGAAUGUUUGAUGUUUCCGAAUUAAUUAAGGCGCCAUUAAUUUCUAACAGUCACAUUAAUCCCGAAGCACAUAUUACCCAAUUAGUCGACCGAUCGAUGAUUAAGCACGGCUGAUGGAUUAAGGGUUUAUUAUAGUUAAAUUGUUCCUUAUCUGUUGUUUUUGUUGUUUGUGCUUCCAUUCGCCUUUUUUCUGUUUUUUUUUUUUUCUUUUCAUUCAACCUUUUUUCGUUGUUCAAUUUUAUGUGCGCUAUGUAUAUUCUGCAUACGUGGUAAUGACUCAAGAGAAUAUCGU